rnacentral:lncRNA from 1 species
GUUUUUUUUUUUCUUUUUUCUUUUUUCUUCUUUUUUCCAACUUGAGGGAUUUCAUGCAAUUUCAUUUAACCGAUUCAAAUGGUUUAUGUUUAGACCUCUACUCAUCGAUCAGUUUCAUGGACAAAUUGUAUUCGUUUGCAUGUAUAGCUCAAGCAUGACUUGAGAGUUGAUGCUUUUGUUGAUUUUCCAUUUCUAAGAAUUCUUUAGACAUUUCAAAAUGAUGGAUUUGAACCAGACUGGAUAUUAUUAUAACUCAUAUAUGUAGAAAUCCUUUGUAAUACGAGCAUGGGCGUGUGUGUGUGUGUAUCCUAAAUUUUCCAGUUAAGGAGUAGCUAAAUUGUUAAUUCUGCUAAAGCACUCUGCCAUCACACAUAUUGCUUAAUCCUUUUCCUAUCGUAUUGCAGUAACUUUGGCACAAAUCUGGAAACAAGCUCCUAUUUGUGGGAAAAUUGCUUGGCAAUUCUUAUUUCUGUUAUGGGUUUGCUAUUGUUUUUAUAUCUUAUUGGGAAUGUGCAGGUUAGUAAUGAUCAUUUCCCUAUGUCUUAGUGGUUGCUAUGUUUACUAUAAAUCCUUAGCUUGUAACUUUAUUUCUUUAAAAUUUUAUCAAAAAAGAAUCCCCUAGCUAUCUUAAAAAGUUGAAACUACACUGGGGAGAGUGAAAUAAGCUAGCUGUGCCAUCUACUACUGAUUCAUUUAUAUAUUUGUCAUUGUGUUCAAUUUAAACUGGUCUGAGUAUUAUUUGGCUAAAUGCUUACUCCCAUCUAAUUGAAUAGCUUUCAAAAUCAUAAUGCGGUUUAGUUACCCUGGAUAAUUUAAUUUUCUCUUGGUUUUCAGAAAUUCUUGUACUCACUAUAUUCAAUUUGGCACUACAACCUGAAUGAAACUCAAUCAUGCAUUCAUUUUUUAAAAGGUCCAAGAAUUGCAGCUGCAUUGAUUUAAUUGCUAUCUUAUUUCAAAAAGAGUAGUUUUAUAUAGUGUGUUGUACAAAUUAAACUAUAAUGUUUCUUGUGAAACAGCAAUGUAUGCAGUGGGAGGCGGAAAAGGAUGAGGUGCUUAAGAGACUGAAAAAAUCAAAGGAAAAUAUAGAAUUCUGGAUGGACGACAGAGGUGUCGAUGAUGAGAAGUUAAGGAAAGAAAUCAUGGCAGACAUAGAUAAUAUACCGGAAGAAAAAAAAGGUGCUGAUCUCGACGAUCUAUUCUCAAUUCUAUCCGAGGAGACAAGUAAAUCUUUGAAGUAUUUGCUGUGUAUGAAAAUGCUAAAGAAUGUAUGUUUCAUUGUCCCUCAGUUCUGUAGUUUCUAAUUCUCUCUUUGUACCUAAUGUAAGCAGCUAACAAAGUAAUACUACGUGCAUGUGUUUUUGUAUAGGUACCAAAGCUUAAAGAUAUGACUGACUUUGUGUUGAGGAGCAUCUGCAGCUAUCUAGAGCCAGUGUUAUACAAAGAUGGUACCUUUUUUGUAAAAGUGGGAGAACCACUUGAUCGUUUGAUUCUUGUUACAGAUGGCAAUAUGUUGGUCUAUACAUCAAAUAGUAUCCACAGGUGUGUGGAGGACGGUGGUGUUUAUGGAGAUGAACAACUUCUGAGUUGGGCAUCAUCCAACUCCAACAUGUUUGUCUCUUUAACAAACAUACCUAUCUCAAAAGAAAAUGUGAAAUGUAUCACAAAAGUAAAAGGCUUUGUGAUCAGGGCUGAGGACUUGGGAAACAUGUCUAUGUACAAACACACUAGGAAUUCUACCGAAUCUAACCUUGGGAAGGAGAUAGCAUUUUCUAGCACAUCAACAGAAACCUCUCCUUUCAGCAAUCAACCAACAUCGACUGUUCCUACACUAGAUGUCGAUCCCACCAGCUUCAAAGGAUUGUAGCAGCAGCAUGUAUCUUGGUACGCCAAUGCUUUUGUAUUACUGGGCAAUCUGCAGGACAUGCAAAUCUGUGAUCAGCUAGCUACUGUAUACAUGCAGUGGUUUUUCACAAGUACAUCAUUCGGUUUUUAAGACAAUUAUUAUUUACUGGGUCAUGUAAGUUUAUAGAACUUUCUUGACACAAGGAUUGCCAACUUCUGACCAUUGUUUUACCAGUCCAGGAUUCUUCAGGUGCUAUACCUUCUUCAAGUGUCAGAAAAAUAAAAAUUUAAACCCUGAAAUAAUAGGAAAAUUUUGAAACCUAACAUUACAGCAAAGAUAUUUUGUCUUCUGGAUAAAAAAGAAUUAGGUGUUAUGUGGUUAUUUCCUUAAAAGAGGUUUCCCGAGAGAUAUGCAUAGAAUCUUAGUGAUGUUUGUCAUUCUUGCAGUGACCUUUUUAUAUGCAGAUGAAGUUUGGCGAAACUUGGUCCCUUAUACUGAUAUAGUAAUUCUAUCAUUUGAGUCUGAUAUAGUGGACUGAAUUCUGUAAAACUGGAAAUUAAACACUGUUUGUUUGUGGACAAAUUAUUUGCAGUUUGCUGGAACAUAAUGUGUAAUUCCCAAACAAGCACCCUACUGAUCAGCAGCUUUAGUACAUAUGUCUAAGUUCCUUGGACAAUAGUAGGAAGUAAACUGACAAUGUGGAGAUUAAUAAAUUUAGAGAGAAACAGUUACAGCUAAUAGGUUGGACACCACAUCAGGAUAAUUGUGUGGAGCUAAGUUUCAUGGAGAGGUGUUGCAAACAGGCAACAAUCAGUGACCUUUGUUUGUAACAUCCCUAGGGAUUUGCAUGAUCAUAGUUCACGACUUCACAUACUACUUAGCUUGAUUUAUGGCGUGUCUUGUAUAGCUAGUAAAUCAAUAACAAAGGAUUCAGGGGAAAGAUGAAGAGUGAACAUGAUCAGGAACAGUUGGUUUUUGUUUAUGUGUAUAAUGUUCUCAGACCAUUACAGAAAUGAAGAAAAAUUCAUUCUUAACACGAGUCUCACUCAUUUGGGAACAUAAUGCGGAUAAAGGUCACUGUUAAUCAUGGCUGCAUUUUGAUACAACACAGAUAUCUAUGAUUUACAGAAAUUUAUGUCUGACAAAACUCAAGGCUCUAAGACUAUUUCUUUUGUUCUAAUCUGGAAUUAUGGUAUUGAGUGCAGUACAUAAAGUGUCUAAUUGCAGGGUCAUUGUUUCAGAAAGAGGAUAUAUUGGAGGGCUAAUAAUUUUGGAUUACUUAUUAGAAUCUUGGAAACCAAGUCAGUUCCAAGUUCCAACCAAUAAUGAAUCUACUUUACUUUCAGGAUUCUCUAUGUCACUCAGAAAUCUUAAACAUUGAAAGCCUAAACUUGUAAGUCUUUGUUUUAGUCUAGGCCAGUCAUUUUAUUCUCUUCCUAAAUCGGAAUAAGAUAGAUGUGAACCAUGCAACUUGUAAGGAAUAUUUAGAGAAAAAGUGGGUCUAAUUAGUAGUAUUAUUCUUAUGCGAGUAGUUUAAAAGUGCACACAAACUUUUCUCAAAGUAGAGGUGUAUUGUAUGAAAUAACCACUAAGGUGUUGCUAGAAUUACGUUAGCAAUGAAUAAAAUUAAUGGCGCUGCUAGUUUUUUUUGUUUCUGGUUAGUUGAGUUUGCCACUAAAUAUAAGUUAUUUGGUCAAGUCCACAGUAUGCAGGCUUUUUUUUGGUCAGUCAACUCAUGUCUACUACUGUAUUGCUAUAACUUGGUGCCAAAGAUGAUUUGUUUUGGACAAAACCUUCCUGCCUGCACCUUCAGACUAAGCCAUGGCGUUCCCAUUCUUGGAAGCUGUUAUCGGUACUAGUUGAUUUCUGUUGCUCCCUCACUAUAACUUCUGUGUUUCUCUGUUCCAUAUAUAGCUCAACUUAGCAAGUACCAUUAAUUUAUCAUAAUAUUUUUACAGGUUUUAUGAUUUUGAUGUACAACUUUGAAACUUAUUUGGAUUUGCGCCAACAUGCUGCUCUUAAACUUCCAACACUUCCUAGAACCUUGGAAGGAGUAAUAAGCCAAGAAAAAUUUGAGAAGUCGCGAGCCUACUGUCUUGAAAGAAGGUAUAUGUGAUUCUUACUGACUAUCAAUUCUCCUUGUUAAUCUUAACUGAUGUGUCUUUCUUGACUUUCAGCAACUUCCAUUUUGUUCACGAUUUUGUGACAUUACUUAUGGACACAGCAAUUUUGUUCUAUCGGAUUUUGCCUUGGUUUUGGAAGGUUAGUAAUACUAACAAGAAUUCUGUCUGUGGAAACCUUGAAAUCUCCUUGAUGCUGUUCUCUCACUAUAUAGCAAGUUUUGUAUUGCAGAAAUCAGGAGAUUUUGUGGUCUUAGCUGGCCUAAAUGCCGAAAAUGAAAUACGGCAUACCCUUUCUUUUUUAGCUGGUGUGAUGAUCUGGGAACAGGUACAGACAUGAGUUCUAAAAUACUAAUAAGUUCUCAGAAUGUAUAAGCAAUCCGUUGGUACUUUUAUUGCACUUAUUGCCUCGACAGAUCGUACAUAUUCCUAUAUAAUACCGGCAUAUAUGCAAAGGUAAUGAGAGUUUGCAUCUUUGGACCAGAUCACAGAUCUACCAUUUUCUCUCUAUUCCACAUUCGUGAUUGAGGCUCGUCAUGGUUUCAAUAAGGUAUGCAUUCCUACUCAGACCUUAUCAUGUCCCAUCCCAUCUUUUCGGUUAUAUCUCUAUGAUUUAACAUCUAACUAAAUUGCUAUUUGUUCCACAGCAAACAAUAUGGUUGUUCUUGAAAGACAUGUUAAAAGAAAUGUGUCUUUCUGUUAUUCUUGCCCCACCUAUUGUGUCUGCAAUCAUUGUGAUUGUACAGGUAAGUAAGAUCAUGUACUAGCUGGCUUUUGAGUUAUCAGCAAACCAUAGAUAAAUUUCUUCAAUCUUCAGAAUGAUAUAGUUAGUUUCUUUUCAUGUUCAACUGUAUGAUUACAGAAUGGAGGUGCUUACUUGGUCAUUUAUCUUUGGACAUUCAUGCUUGUCCUCUCUUUUGUGAUGAUGACGAUCUACCCUACUUUAAUAGCCCCACUCUUCAACAAGUUCACCCCUGUAAGUGCUCAAAAUAUAUACUGAUUAUUAACUAAAAUCACUUCAUUCACCCUUUCAUUAAUAAGUUUUGUUUUGUCGUCUUAUUUUUCUUGUUACUUGUGACAAUAGCUUCCGGAGGGUCAGCUGAGGGAGAAAAUUGAGAAGUUCGCUUCUUCCCUCAAGUUUCCAUUGAAGAAGUUGUUUGUUGUUGAUGGAUCUAUAAGGUCAAGUCACAGCAAUGUGAGGACUUCCAUGAUGUUUAUAUAUGUUGUUCUGAAUUUUGGUAUUUGUGGAUUUCCUCAUCUUACCUAUAUAUUAUGGUACAGGCCUAUAUGUAUGGAUUUUUCAAGAACAAGAGGAUUGUUCUUUAUGAUACACUGAUCCAGCAGGUAUUAAAAGGCUAUCACUUAUUGCAUUAUUUUGGUUAGUUUUUCGCUGUGUAUCUCCAUGGGCAAAAAGUUAUUUAAGUGAGUAAUCGAUUGUUUGCAGUGCAAAAAUGAUGAGGAAAUUGUAGCUGUUCUAGCUCAUGAGCUAGGCCAUUGGAAGCUUAAUCACAGUGUUUACUUAUUCAUUUCUAGGCAGGUAUGUAUGUAUUCUAUAAUUUUCUUGCAAAUGUAUGUCAUUUUUUAAACUAGUGACAUUUAUGGUCGACCCUGAGUAAGCUCUUAAAAAUUUGUGUGAUUUUUCUACAUUGGUGCAGAUCCGUACACUUUUACACUUCGGGGGAUAUGCUCUCCUGAGAAACUCCAGCAGUCUGUUUCAGAGUUUCGGGUUUGACACUCAACCAGUAAUUAUUGGUCUCAUCAUAUUUCAGGUAUCAAUAUAUAGCCCUUCUGCCAAUUAUGCAACUGUUCUGUGUAUAAUGUUAAUUUGACACAAAUUAUGACUACACCUUCUGUUUGCAGUAUACCAUAACACCUAUCCAGUACCUUGUAAACUUCGCUCGUAACCUUGUGAGCCGAGCUUUUGAGUUUCAGGUGAAUCUAUACUUCACGGUUGGCUUUUGAUUUCCUUUCCUUCACCGGAACUUUUUCUUAUAGUAUUUGGUUCUUUAUAGGCUGAUGCUUUUGCUAAGAAACUUGGUUAUGCCUCUUCACUCCGAGCCAGUCUUGUUAGGCUACAGGUAACUUAUCUAAUUCGUUAUUUAAUUUUGGGAGCGAGGAUAUAUACAUAACUUCUGUUAUACAUGCAUGGUUUUUGUUUUUGUUCUACUCCUAAUUUCUUGUGAAACAGUUUCAUUGUUACUAAACCAGAAAAUUGAUUGUAUUUUCCAGGAAGAGAACUUGUCAGCUAUGAACACUGAUCCUUGGUACUCGGCAUAUCACUAUUCACAUCCCCCACUUGUUGAAAGGUUGGCUGCAAUCGGUGAAACAGACAAGAAAGCAGACUGAUAUGUGAAACCUAUGGAUGAUCAGCAGCACAAAGACGAUUUCUUAUCAAUCUUAAUCGACAAAUUGUACGUACUUUGCUCAUCAUGAUCAUCAAGUACUAGUAUCUGUCUUAAUAUUUAUAGUAAAUCAAUGACAAUGGAUCCGCAUGGCGCAUCACCUUGCCACGUUACCGGAAUAACCAUCAAUUAGGAAGGAAACGUUACUAAUGGACUACAUUGUGUGAGAUUGGAUAGUCCAAGAAGUAACAUGUCGAAAUUAAGAAAGUUAGAAAACAAUGAUUGAACUGUUCGAGGCCCUCAAAAUAGGAGUAACUAGUAAUUUGUCCUUUAAUUAACUAUGUUGAUGAUUCUGUGGCAAGCACGCACAUUGUUGCUAAUCGCUUCAGAAAGAACAAUACUGCGUACAAAGAACAAUACUGCACACCUCGGAGCCUAGUAGGAUUUCCGCCGAUCGAAUCACCUGUGCUACUACGGGCGGCUUAGAUCGAUUUUCUAGUUUGCCUCAGCCCCGAGAAAAUCAAGGCUCACCCUGCUCGAUCUCAUAACCGAAUGAUUCUUGUCCGGUAAAGAAUUAAUAAAGCUAUAACGAUUCCUUUUGUCUGGUCUGAACUCGGCAUAAAAACUACGUACAACCGAUUGUUGAUCGAAUCUUCUUUCCUCAUGCUUAUUGUAAUAGCAACCGAUUGUUGUAGAUUUCUAUGAAAAAUACCAAAGGCUUCAUUCAUCAUGUCUUGCUUGCAUGACUUAAGUUAUGAUGAUGUCUGAAAGCAGAAGCAGCAGCAUGCGCAAUAUUUGCUUCCUAUGUAUUUUCAUCAACUUCUUCUCUCACUUUGCUCAUCCACUCUCCUUCACUAUAGAUCAGUUCGACGAGAGUGCAAAUGGAGUUGUCUUUGAAGGUGAUGCCAAGUUUUCGUCGGGAGUGAUUGAGCUUAACCCAGGCACGUACUUCGACGUUGGCCAUGCUACAUACGCAGAGCCUCUGCACCUAUAUGACACUGCCACUGGCUCACUGGCAGACUUCACUACUCAUUUCACUUUCAAGGUCGACUAUGGUACUCUUAAUGAAGGUUGGAAGUUCAGCGACGGAAUUGCCUUCUUCCUUGCUCCUGUUGGCUACGGCAUUCCACCAAACUCUGGCGGUGGCGAACUGGGAUUGUUCAACACCACCACCAAUUUUAAUGACUUCUCCAACAACAUGAUUGUAACUGUAGAGUUCGACAGCUGGGGAAACGACUGGGAUCCACAUCCCCCCGCCGCGCAUAUUGGGAUCAACAUCAAUAAAAUAUCCUCAGCUAUAACUGCCAACUGGAGUCCCAGUGACAUCAUCACCGGCAAGAUUGGUAAUGCAUGGAUAACUUAUAACGCUACCGCCACCAAUCUUACUGUGUUUUGGACAUUCGAUGACAUCACCGGCCGCGUUGAUCCAAACAUAUCUAGUACUUCUUCCCUUACUUACCAAGUUGACUUGCAAAAGAUUCUCCCGGAAAGGGUCACAGUUGGUUUUUCUGCUUCUUCCGGAUUAUUCCUUGGCCGGCAUUUUUUAUGUUCAUGGACAUUUAAGUCGACUUUGUUGGAUAAGGAUAUUAUAAGAGGAGCAGAAAGCAAAAACAGAGGAGCAGAAAGCAAGAGAAACAAGAAGAAGAUACUCUUGAUACUGGACAUUGCAGUACCUGCUGGCUUCAUUUUGACGCUUGGUGCGGUGAUCAUAUGUUGGUUGAUGGUAUUAAGGAACCGGAGAAACAAUUACUCAGGCGAAGUCUCUGAUCUUGAGAAGCUAGCCUUUCCAAAACGAUUUGCUUACCAAGAAUUGGUUGCUGCCACAAACGGGUUUGCCGACGAUAGAAGGCUAGGCCAAGGAGGGUCAGGACAAGUAUACAAAGGACUCUUAAAGGACUUUGGAGGCUGCACAGUUGCCGUGAAGAGAAUCUUUGCAAGACCUGAUCAGAAAUAUGAGAAAGUCUUCAUCAAUGAAGUCAAAAUCAUAAGCCGCUUGAUCCAUCGGAACCUGGUGCAGUUCAUUGGGUGGUGUCAUGAGCAAGGGGAAUGCUUACUUGUUUAUGCAUACAUGCCAAACACCAGCCUCGACACGCAUCUAUUUUGCAACAGACCAACCCUGCAAUGGCACAACAGGUACAAGAUAGCUUUCGGCUUGGCCUCAGCGCUUCACUAUCUACACGAAGAUGCAGAGCAGUGUGUACUUCAUAGAGAUGUCAAAUCAGCUAACGUACUGUUGGAUGAUGACUUCAGCAUUAAGCUUGGUGAUUUCGGUAUCGCUAAGCUUGUAGAUCCCCGGUUGAGGUCUCAGACAAGAGGGGUGGUAGGGACUUUUGGAUACAUGGCACCGGAAUAUGCUACUGAAGGGAGGGCUAGUAAGGAAUCUGAUAUGUUUAGUUUUGGAGUUGUAGCCUUGGAAAUUGCUUGUGGAAGGAGGACUUACCAAGACGGUGAAUAUCACCUGCCACUAUUUAGGUGGGUUUGGCAGUUGUUCCUUGCAGGAAAUAUUCUAAACGCAGCUGAUGAAAGAUUGGAAAUGAAGUAUGAUCCAAAUGAAAUGAAAUGCUUAUUGAUUGUUGGACUAUGGUGUACUCACCCCAAUCACAAGGCAAGACCAAAAGCAGGACAGGUGAUGAAGGUUAUUCAGCAUGAGGCACCAUUGCCGGAACUUCCACAAGACAUGCAUAAUGAUCCAGAAGUACCUCAUUACCAGUCUCAAAUUGCAUAUUCUCGAUCAGAUAUACCUCCUCAACAAACCUAGAUUUACUGCCUGAGUAGUAGAAACAGUCACUAAAUCAUAUGAAGGACAAGGUGAAAGAGGUGGAACGCAGUUCAUAAGGAUAAAUUUUAUUGUCAUUAUUUUUUAUAUUGCGUGCAGUUAUUUUUGUGUGUAAUAAAUUCUGUGUUUGUGUCCCCAACUCUAGACCUUGUUCAAUGUAUGGAGUUUAAAUAGUUAGUCGUUUGUUGGAGGCUGGUUCGAUACGAUUUAAGGGUUCGUGUAGUCUGGUUAUUAGUCGGCUGGCUCCGAUAUCGCGAUUGCAUGCAUGAAACACUAUAGAUUUGCAAAGGGAAGCUAGAAUUUAUUCACAUCAUGUUCAACAUUGCAAAAGCAAAAGACAGAGGCACAAUUGUGCAUUCAAGAUUUGAUUCUAGUUUACUUAAGUGUACUCUCAUAACCUAGCCACUGCUCAUCUGGUUUUCUCAAGUUACUGAAACCAAGUUUGUCCUUUCCUGUCAAUAUAUUUACUAUGCUAAGGAGCGAGGCUUCUCCAAGAUUAAAGUCGAGGGCGACUCUAAGUUGGUGAUUGACGUCGUGAAUGGAGUCUUGAACCCCAGUUACUCAAACUGAUUCAUGAUGUCAAAGUCUUGAGUAAUUCCUUUGAGUUUGUAGGCUUUAAGCAUGUGUUUAGGGAAGCAAAUUUCAUGGCUAAUGCUUUAGUCAAUCUUGGACAUAGGCGGAGUAAUUUACGCUGCUGGGAGGAGUGUGUUCCUUCAGAAGUGUAUUCUGCUUUUGUCUUCGACAUUGUUAAUUUUGGGUGCAUUAAAGGCUCCUCCAUAUAAUAUAUUAUUUCUUCUAUCAAAAAAUAAUUAUGUAUAUAUAAUUCUUUCCAAAACUACCCCUUGCCUGUAAAUCUAUAUAGCCAUAUAGGAUUAAGACAGAUGUAAAUCAUGUAACUUGUAAGGAUAGUUUUGACACUGAAAUAAUGAGCUCCCCUAGCUACUAUGAUCUCCAUGGAAAAUUUGAAGCAUUUAAAAUGAAGUAGCUACCCCAUCUGGAUCAUGCAUGGUUUUUCUUCAAGGUAAAUGCCCUGUAAAAGAUUCAGGAAGAAGAUAGCUGAAAAAGGAAACAAAGUCACUGGAGCAAAUCUGAACUCUGCACCAAUUGUCUACUAUGACUUUUUUACCUCUGCUGGAUUUUGUUGCAGCCUAAUAUACUCAGUACUAGCUCUGAUGCACUGUCCAGAAACAGUAAGGUAACUUUUUUACUAAUUGAAUUCAAUUAUAUUGAAAAAAUGUACAACAUCCGAAUUCUUUAGCCUGGAGCCCUGGAGUUUGCUCCAGAUAUGGAAAUGGUUACAGAAAAGCUUUCAAAAUCAAUGAGAAAAUGAAUCUGAACUUGGUGUAUUUCUAGUUGGCAAUAAGUACAAGCCUACCACCCCAUGAUUGCAUCAGAUUACCUUACGAUACCAAUUAAACUUACUUCAGUUCUACUAUAAAUAUCAAAGAUAUAUAAAUAUAUAUAUUUAUAAAUUAUUCAAAGUAUAAGCACCGAGAUUUCAAUUAAUCCAAUAUGGAAAUGGGUUAGCUCUCUCUUCCAAACCGAUCCAUGCCAUUUUGAUUAUCUCAGCAAAUGUUUUUUCUAAUUAUUUUUUUUUCUACAUGCUUCGAGUCAUUUCGAUCCAUUCUUUACGGGUGAAAUAACACACUAAAAUUUCUAACGUUAAGUGAAGAGUUUUGUACCGCGCGUUUUAGUUGUUAUUACUAACAAUAGUAGCGGAAAUCACUUUACGAUGUCUGAUGUUAUGGGUCCUAAACACAAUAUAACAUCAUGUAUAAAACUAUAAAAGUAUAACUAAUUUAGUAUAGUGUCAUUUUCCAUCAAACAAUAAAAAGGCCAAAAAGAAAGAAAGAAAAUUACAGAUAUCUGAAAAGUAAAAAGUAGGUGGGUUUUAAAAGGGUUCUACGUGAUCCGGGUCAUAAAACGGAGCCGGGUAGAGGAAGAGAUCCGUGACUAUAUAUAGUCCUGGCAAAAACAACUUCCUUCUUCACAAAAAAAACCUCACCUCCCUCCACACUCAGCCAUGGAGUCCUCCUUCCCUUUCCUCGAAUCCGUGAUUGGUACCUCUUUCUCUUUCAAUUUUCCGAUGAUUUUUCCGAUUAAGUUUCCGACUUGCUUGUUUCCGAUUCAAAGUCUUCAUCUUUUUUCCGUCUAUCUUUGCAUUAGAUUAUAGAGCGCUAUUCUGGAUUUUUCUUGUUCAACAUAGCAUUAGGGCAUUUUGCGAUGUGUGUAAAAAUCAUGACUUGGUAUCCAAAUCUUGAUUUUGAAGAUGUCUAGGGUUUUUCCGGGAUUAAAGUUUGUUUCUUUAUCUCGAUUUCUUGAAUUUUACAGCUUUCAUGGAUUAGAAUAGUCUAUACAAAGUUGGGUUAGAAUAGUCUAUACAAAGAGAGAUUAGAAUAGUCUAUACAAAGUUAGGACUUUGAAUAUUUUGGGUUUUAUCGGAUUGUGACAUCACUGCUUCAAAUGGGUUGUACUGUUGUUUCCCAUAUUAGUAUGAACAGUUGGGUUUGAUGGAUUUGAGCUUGUGGCUAGUUAAGAUUUGGAUACAUGUUGUUGGAUUCAAUAUAUGUUCUGUUAUCUUUUGGGUUGUAUUUCAUUGUUUCCUAGUCAAUUUCUGUUGAAAUCACUUCUUGCUUCUUUGGUUCUUGUUCAGUAUGUCUUCGGUUUUCUUUGCUUCAUGUUCUGUAGGUUGUGAUUGUGAUUGCUUUUUGGUUGUUUACAGGUUUCAUGAUACUAAUGUACUUCUUUGAGACUUAUUUGGAUACUCGGCAACACUCUGCUCUCAAACUUCCGACCCUUCCCAAAACUUUGGAAGGAGUAAUCAGCCAAGAGAAGUUUGAGAAGUCGCGAGCCUACAGUCUUGAAAAGAGGUAUAUCUUAGUUGCAUUUCUCAUUGAUACUCUUACUUUUGAACAUAUUCGUGGUUUUUGAUUCGCUGAUGUAUCUUUUGUCACUCGCAGUCAUUUCCAUUUUGUUCAUGAGUUUGUGACAAUACUGAUGGAUUCAGCAAUUUUGUUCUUUCGAGUUUUGCCUUGGUUUUGGAAGGUUAGUAAUUGGUUUCAAGCAAAUUUCUUUGCGGCUAUACUAUAAGCUGUUUGAUAUUCAUCUGUUCUUUUGCUUUAACAAUGCAGAAAUCUGGAGACUUUGUGGUUUUGGCUGGCCUCAAUGCCGAAAAUGAAAUACUGCAUACACUUGCAUUUUUAGCUGGUGUUACGAUUUGGUCACAGGUGCGCACCUGAUUUCCUCCCUGCAUAUGCAAGGACACUUUUUUUUUCAGCUUUAUUGUGGAUGAAGAAAUUCUCUCAAGUGUGUUAUAACUUAACUGAAUCAGUAUUUAGAUCUACUGGCUUUAUGAAUGUCUUUGCACGGUAUUUAAGUUUUAGUGGAGUGUGGAAUGUCUAUGUUUAAACUGUUCCAUGUUCAUUCUGAUGUCUAGUAAAUAUACUUCUUAUGAAAAAGAAAAUAUAUAUAUAUAUAUAUAUAUACACGAUUUUUCUCAGCUGCGGACGUCCGCACCAAAGUUUUGGUGUGGAUUUCCAUUUUUGCACCACUUUUCGAUCGAAUUUCCUCAUCUCCACUGUCUAGUAUCUAGAUAAUAUUGUGUAGAUCAUCUCUGCAAAAUUUCAGCCAAUUUGGUAAUCGUUAAGGCCCUCAGACUCGAAAAACAAAUUGACUAACUGAAUUCUGUCCGGUUCAUUUUUAUACCAGAAAAACACAAUUUUGAGGGCCUUAUGAGGAAAUUCGAUCGAAAAGUGGUGCAAAAAUGGAAAUCCGCACCAAAACCAUUGGUGCGGACGUCCGCAGCCGAGAAGGGCUGUAUAUAUAUAUCUACUGAUUUUUGAAAUAUAUGAAAAGGUUUGAGGGGAGCACAGUGUAUAUGGCUUUUCCUCUAUUUUGGGUUUUGAGAGAGUCUGACAUCCUUAACCCUCCUCAUUAUGCUGGUAUAUGUUGUGUAAAGGUUUUCCUCUAGUUCUAUUUACAAGUGUUGGAUUUCAGAGGUAAUGGGCUAGUAGCUUUCAUCAGAAAAAUGGUUCCUUUAAUCAUUUUAGAGUGCAUAUAAUUUUUAUUACCACACAGAAGGUUGGAAAGGUUUUUCCAUAAGAAACUAAUAAUCAUGCUGGGCUUUCUCAUUAUGUCUGAAAUGCUCAAUGACUUCUGGUGGCAUUGAUUUUGAAAGUUCUGAAUGUUUAUGAGCAAUCUCAUUUGGUAUUGUCAUUGCAUAGAUUUUGUAGAUCUAUUUCUCUACUGCUUACAAGGCUAUCUGUUUUUCUUCUACCAGAUCACUGAUUUGCCAUUUUCUCUGUACUCCACAUUUGUGGUUGAGGCACGUCAUGGUUUCAACAAGGUUUGUAUUCGGAAUCAGACCUUUCUCACCAGUUCCAUGUCUUAUCAGUUUCAUAUUAUUUCACUAAUUCAUAAGUUAGUAGCAUUAAUCUUAUUGUUAUCUUUCAAUUUAUUAUUCAUUAUUGCUAUAAUAUGAUAACUAAUGUUCGUUCUAACAUUUUCAUCACUUCCACAGCAAACAAUAUGGUUAUUCUUUAGAGACAUGUUGAAAGGAAUUUGCCUUAUGGCGAUCCUCGGUCCACCGAUUGUGGCGGCAAUCAUUGUGAUUGUACAGGUAAGAUUUUGAGCAGAAACCUUUUAAGAUGCAGUAAUGUCCAUUGACUUAAUUGAUGAUUGUUUCUUGACUCUCCAUGUUAGAUAUUUUGGUUUGGGGUAAAUAUUACAAAAUCUGCACUCUAGUUCUCUGAUAGUGUACAAAACAUUUUUCAUGGUUAGUGGUUCUUAUAUUCUACUUUGUGAUUGCAGAAAGGAGGUGCUUACUUGGCCAUUUAUCUUUGGGGAUUCAUGUUUGUGCUCUCUCUUGUUAUGAUGACGAUCUACCCUAUUCUAAUAGCUCCACUCUUCAACAAGUUUACCCCUGUGAGUGUUCUGUUCAAGUGUCACCAAAUUGGAAUCCAUUAAUUCUGUCAUUGUAUCCGGUUUACUGGUCUAAUUUUCGAAGUUAUGUGCAACAAUAGCUUCCGGAGGGUCCGCUCAGGGAGAAAAUUGAGAAGCUCGCUUCUUCCCUCAAUUUUCCAUUGAAGAAGUUGUUUGUUGUUGAUGGAUCUACAAGGUCAAGCCAUAGCAAUGUGAGGACACUACCCUUGUUUCAAUCGCUUUCUGUGAAACUUGUGAUUUAAAAUUCUAGAUGUUCAUUUGCAUUUUUGUUAAUUAGUGAGAAGGGGAAACCCUUCUCCCAGUUAUUACCAUACUUAACCUUCUGUACAUGAAUGAAACUGCAUUCAGGGGGAUUAGUGAGCUAGAAAGGUUCUGCACUUCUGCUCAGAAGUGUGAACUGAUCUCAUUUGCAUUUUUGUCGAUUACUAGUAGAAGGCCUACUUAUUACCAUUGUUGACCUGUGCAUUAGUGAAACUGCAACAAGGGGUUAUGGUAAACAUGCUUUGAGGGUGUUUGUUGAUAUGCCUUGAUUAUUAAAAUAGCUAAUACUGUCUUAGCUAUUGUCAUACAUUGUGACAUAGCUAAUGCAGUCCUCAUAGGGACGGGAAUAUAAUUUUCCUGUAUUCUAUUCCUCUCUGGUUAUUUUUUUCUGAAUUAUGUUAAUAUUUGUUAAGUUACUCAUCUUUCCUACCUUGAUACAGGCCUAUAUGUACGGAUUUUUUAAGAACAAGAGAAUUGUCCUCUAUGAUACAUUGAUUCAGCAGGUCAGGAGUAGCAACUUUUUGAAACAUUUCCUCUUUCGUCUAUUUUUGUGUUCGGUUGAUUAGUUUAUGGUUAUAUACUCUCUUAUUCAAAAGUUUAUGGUUUGCAGUGCAAAAAUGAUGAAGAAAUUGUAGCUGUUAUUGCUCAUGAGCUAGGCCAUUGGAAGCUUAAUCACACAAUGUAUUCAUUUAUUGCGGUGCAGGUAUGCUUAAAUAUUUAUUGCUUUCUCAUCACCUUCUGAUCUCUUCUAUUGAUCAUCUAGAAUGCUAAAUUUCUGUAGCUACGUUGACCUUACCUGAGUUGUGAAUAUACUCUGUUAGGCGCAAGACAAGUGGAUAAAGUCUGAUAAAUAACCUCGGGCAGUCCUUUAGGCUUAUUAGGACAGACCCUAUUGCUCUAACAUAGGGUAUCAUAGAGAUGAUUGGUCAUGUUUUGCUACCUAAAGAGUCAUUUUGUCUUAGAAGAUUACUAUUUUAUUUUUAACUGUUCUCUUUUUCUUCUUUUGUUUGACUUUGAGUGAGUUAUAUAUAUUUUUUGUCUUGUUGCUUAUGGUCUUUACACUUGGCACAGAUCCUUACACUUAUGCAAUUUGGGGGAUACACUCUAGUAAGAAAUUCGAGCAGUCUGUUCCAAAGUUUUGGGUUUGAUACCCAGCCGGUCAUCAUUGGACUCAUCAUAUUUCAGGUACCUAUUGCCACUUCCCUCCUGUUCGUCAAUCAUAGAUAUCAUAGAACAUAUACAGACCACUUGUGUCAUGUGUAUAGUCCGUAUUUUAGGCUUGUGUGAACCAUUCAGAAAAGAAGACCAGGCUUCUUGGUUGACUUGUGAACUCCUAUAUAUCCUGGAUUUGAUCAUUAAGUGUGACCUCACUUUUGUUGUUUGCAGCACACCAUUAUCCCUGUUCAGCACCUAGUUAGCUUUGCUCUUAACCUUGUGAGCCGAGCUUUUGAAUUUCAGGUGAAUCUAUACUUCAUCAGUUGAUCCUUGCUCAAACACUGCUGUAUUUUUUUCUCAUCUGAUCUAUAUUUUUGUAGGCUGAUGCUUUUGCUAAGGCGCUUGGCUAUGCUGCUUCACUUCGAGCUGGUCUUGUUAGGUUACAGGUAAUUUAUCUAAUUUUGUCCCUCCUUUGGACAUGUAUUGUUUGUUCUGUUUACAAACUAGAAAACAUGAAUACAACUAAAGUAUCUAUAUAUAUCAGGACCUUCGUUGAUCUUCAUUAAAUUCCGACUCCUUGUGAUUCUUUAUCCUGAUAGCAUGAUUAGAUGAGCUGCCCCACAAAUAAAUUUGGCUGCCCAGAUUCAUUUAAGAUUCUAUUAUUAUGACAUUAGACAGAUGAAUGUGCCACAUAAUUAGGAUGCCUAGAUUCAUUUAUGAUUAGGUUAAUAUAAAUAGGGUUUAGGCCUAUAUAUAACACCAAACAGGUGGGAUUGUAUGGGCUUUUAUGUGGUCUCUGAAUUGAUUGAUAUUUUGUAUUCUUAAGCUUGUUGCUAAUACAGUUUGCACUACUAAAUGGGGUUUAAUGAUUUUCCAGGAAGAGAAUUUGUCAGCUAUGAACACUGAUCCUUGGUACUCGGCGUAUCACUAUUCUCACCCACCGCUUGUCGAAAGAUUAGCUGCAAUUGAUGAAGAGACCAAGAAAACAGACUGAUAUGGUAAACCCAUGGAUGAUCACACAAAUACGAUGCAUCAAUCUCCAUUGACAAAGAGCAUAGCGCUCAUUAUUGUCAAACGGCUGUUUUUGUUUCCUUUUAGUUUUAAAUUCAACGAGGAUUCAUAUCCAUAGUUGGAAAAUAGAACACUACUUAUUAUUAAUAGGAUAUGAAGGGGCUACAGUGAAUCAGUGAGAGGGUCAGAUGCAAAAUGAAUAUAAGUGCACAAACAAAAAACAACCUGUUUCUGUUGUGUAUAUUGUUUCAAUGAGCUAGCAGCUAGUAAGAACAUAUUUCGUAGCAGUUCUCUUUCAGCCUUGUACCAUCUUUCUUUUACUUGAAUUAGUACGACAGUAUCCGAUAAUCACAUGCUUAAGCUAACCACAGUAUCUGCUAAUCGAUUGUUAAUCAUAUGUUAGAAUUUCCUGCAGGCAUUGUUGAAUUCUUGCCCCUGGUGCUUAAUUUAUUGUAUAUAGCAAAUUGCUCAAGUGCCGAAAUUAAUUUGGUGAUGGAAUCGUCUUUUACCACAUAAGCCCUUCCCCGAGUUCAUGAUGCUGAGACAGAGCAUAUUAUUAUGCAUCUGAAUUGCCUGUUGGUUCAAUUAUUUAUUUCACAUGUAUCCCAAACUAUCCUCUCUUAUUUAAAUCAUAGUUCACAGAAUGAUUUAGGAUUUGGGUUAAUCAUCAAGAUUACUUGAUGACUUGCAGAUUAAGGAUUUGCUAUGGCCAUUAUUAAUCCAAAUCCUAAAUCACACUCUUCAGAAUCACCACUAAGACCAUAAAGGAGGAUGCUUUUCCUUUUCAUUUCCAAUGAUGCAGCUUGAUUCAUUUAGCCAAAUGCGAAGGAACCAGAUGAUUCAUUUCCAACUGUCACAACUCACAAGUCACAACACUGAAAAAUGCAGAGAUGAAAUCAUUUUCAUGUUCCAUCAUGGGUGAUUUAUAUGCUGUCCACACAAUUCCUCGAGGGAUUUCCACUAUUUAGUGGUGUUUUAGCUUUUUCUGACUUUGUCUGGAUACAUUAGUAAUAUGAUAACAAGAUUCCCACAAGUCCAUAACACCACUUGCAAGCAAACAUGCCCUCCCGUUGUGAUUGUGGGCAAUAAUCAAGCAUUUUUUGGAUGGGUGUUGCUAAAAUAUCUUAGCAAACCCAGCAUUAAAAGUUUAUCCUGUAGUUUCCCAAUUUACCCUUGUGUAUUGCACUCAGCAAACUAAAUGCAUCGAUUUACGAAAAACUUCUUCUCGAGUUCAUUCCACACAUCCCACAAGUUUGGCAGAACUAUACUUUCAAUUUAUGAUGAAUUACUUAAUCAUGCCCGCUAAGUAUUGGGUUCUUGAUGUUAUAUAUCAAACUCAAUAUUUUUUCAGAGUAGAACAAGUGCACCGAGAGGAAACAAUGGAAGUGUGGAUGCCUUCAAGUGAGACUACCUUGACUUCAAGUGCCAAUCUCAGAUCGAUAAUUUCAAGUCUAGCUUCCUGUGCUUCAAGUCCGUAGUCUGUACCUUGAGAUCAAUUUUGAUUUGUAAUAAGAAUAUUUACCCAUCUGGUUCUUUCAUUUGCUAAUGAUUUUACCCUUUCAUUUGUAACAGAUCUGUGUAAUAAACUCAUCUCCUAUCUCGAUCUUUUAUCCACCGUUUUAAUUUUAAUACAUAAUAUACUUGAUCGAUUAUCGCUUUUGAAAGAGGUUGGAGAAGAAGCAACAUUCUUUCAUGUUGCCUUGUGUUCUUGCUCAAAUUAGCAGUUGCUUUUCAUCCAAAAGCACCUUCUAAAAAGUGCUGAAGUUUGCUGGGUGUAUUUUUCCUGAGGGUAAACAUGGAAUAUUUAAGUUAAUAAUCUAGGGCUGGGUUUACUAAGUAAUUUGCUUGGUACAUUUAGAAGCACCUUUUUUAGAUAUAUAAUCUUCUGUUUUCAGUUAAAUUUGAAGGCAAUCGAACCUGCAGUACGAUUGCAAUCGAUUUAUUAAAAACUUAUGUUAAAACAUUGUGUCGUAAUGUAUUAUUUAAGUAAUUUUUUCUUUCUCCAUCAAAUUUACACUAUGAUUAUCGAAAUUCACGCCAUAUAAAUUUUUCAUCGAAAAUUUCCUCUUGACAUAAAAGUGACGAGGCAAUCUUGUUAAGAAAGCAAGGAUCGUUAUGUGGCUUAAUCCAAAUAACUAAUGGACCCGUAUGUGAUAACGGUCACUUUUUGGCUACCUUAAGCUUGUUUAGAAGUGGAUUAGUAGGCCCCCAAUUGCUUUCAAUCAUGUUUCUCCCUACCCUUUCAAACAAAAUUAGGUAAGACAGUGCUUUCAUAUGGACUGCUUGCACAUAAUAGAGUGUAAUGAUACCCUCAUAAUAACCGUUUUAGCAAAUAAUUACACUUCUAUUACACUUUCUAAUUUCCUCUCCCUUAAGGCCUUAAUGGCUAUUAGUUCUUGAUUUUGUUUCUUCUUUUAUUGGGAAUUUUUUAGGAUACUUUCAUUUCAAAAUUCGUUGAGACCGGUUUUCCUAUGUUUGUCUAGAGUUUUUCUAUAUUCGUUAUAUUCUUCUUUUACGGUAUGGAGACAAAGGAAAAUUAAUUUAGAGAUGUCAUAGUUGCGAAUUAGGUAUACAAUGAGUAUGCAGAAACAAUUCGUUUCAUUCUUCUUUCUUUUUCUCAUUACAAUACUGGAAAAAUAAAAUAUCAAUUGUUGGUGAUCGGUAAUCGUCAUCUGAGAUUAUUUUUCUCCAUGUCAAUGCCAGUAAGAAUCACGAAUAAUAAGACUCAGGUUUUCUUAGUCUCAUUGUUAAUAAGUUCCUUCGUAGUAGGAUCAUAUAAUUAAUUGUAAAGUUUUUUGUUAAUAAUAAGUUUACAUUUUACGUACCGUAUAAUUUCACAGAAAAAAUAGAUAGUAUUAUUUAGCUCAAAAUGAAAAGAGUUUUUAUAGAAACAUUCCCAAUGUAAAAGUGCAUAAACAAAAUUAAUAUCUUAAACUUUGUUUAAGGCUUAGCUCUGGCUGAUUAGCAAAAGUGCAAAACCAACCUUCUCCAUUUGGAAAGUAAACAUCAAGUCAGCUAAGCAGAGACUAACACAAGGGACAAAUCCGUCAUUCCACCAAAAUGUUAGCACUUAACAAAACUAAUAUACAGACAGACAGAGAGAGCUAGACAGAUCAUUUACACACACCUCCCACUCUUCCUUCUCGACUUUCCUUCAAACACCGAUUCUCCGUUCGCCGGAAAAAAAACCACUCACCGGCGAGGAGACUAAUGCGACCCGACCCACAUCGCUAAACUCCAUCCCUCCAUCUGGGUCGAGGCUAGAUUUCCAUUCGGAGACAGCAAUGUCGGUAUACGACGCGGCGUUUGUGAACUCCGAGCUCUCCAAACCCACUUCAAUCUUCGGCCUCCAUCUCUGGGUCGUCAUCGGAAUCCUCGUCGGCUCCUUAAUAGUCCUCACCCUCUUCCUCCUCUCCCUCUGCCUCACCGCCCGCCACCGCCACAAGAGCAAGCUCGUCACCGCCGCCGCGCAAAAGCCCAGCCCAAUAAUCUCCAAAGAUAUCCAGGAAAUAAUCCACCCCAAUCCGGAGGUCCACAUGGAGAUCGGGAAGCCCGAGCACCGGGUGGUGGUGUUCUCCGACCAACGCGGCUGUGGCGCCUCCAGCGGCGAGAGCCGCGGGACGCUGAACAGCGAAACGGCGUCGUUUGCGAGCGGGAAUGUGGUGGGGCCCGAGGUGUCGCAUCUGGGUUGGGGGAGGUGGUACACUUUGAGAGAGCUGGAGGCUGCGACGAAUGGGUUGUGUGAGGAGAAUGUGAUUGGGGAAGGUGGGUAUGGGAUUGUGUACAGUGGGAUUCUUAGUGAUGGGACUAAAGUUGCUGUUAAGAACUUGUUGAAUAACAGGUACUGCUUUUAUUUAAUUUUAAUUUAAUUUCAUAAAGGUGGAAACUUGAUGUGUUUACUGUGGUUUUGGGUGUGGUUUUGAUGUGGGUUUGUGGCGGUUUUUGGUUAUUGGUUCUGGGUUGAUGAUGAAAGUGAAGAACUUUUGCGAAGAUAGAAACUUACAGAAGCUGAGAAUAAUUUGUUUUCUGUUAUUAUUUCUUUUUCCUAAAAUGGCGGUUGAAUGUUUCAUAACUUGGUAGGAUUUUCAUUUGGAGUGAUAGGAGGAUCGGUUAGUCAUAUGAGUUGACUGGUUUGCGAUUCGACUUUUUUUGUUUUUGCUGUGAUUUCUUCUGUUCAUGCAUUUUCUGGGAAACUGAAGAGGGUAUUUGAUUCAUCGACUUCAUGGUUUGUUUUUAUUUUUUGAGUUUUAUUAGGUUUGGCUGGUUUAUUCUUAUCUUGCGUUUGUUAGAAUUUGUGCUGUAAAGUCGCCUGCUUUCUGAAAAAGAGCUCCAUCAUUCGUUUUUAGGUUCCUUGUGCUCAUAGUCAAGCUUGAGUUGAUGAUGUUGGCAUCAGAAUCUCCCUCUUUCUCUUACACACAAACUUUUGACUUGUCUCAUUUUUUUUUUUUCUGUUAUUCGAUUGUGUUUUGCCUUGGUUCUUAGUGAAUAGUGGCAGUGAUCAACUAAUGAUGCUGCCUUGGAUUUUGGAUAUGCAGGGGUCAAGCUGAGAAGGAGUUUAAAGUGGAGGUGGAAGUAAUUGGGCGUGUGAGACACAAAAAUCUUGUGAGGUUACUCGGAUACUGUGUUGAAGGUGCAUACAGGUAUAUUUAUCAUAAUGUUGGAGUCUCAGCUUAUUGUUACUGUGAAGCAUCUAGGAUGUGUCAUUGAGCUUCUGGUUUUGUUUCUUAGGAUGCUUGUGUAUGAGUACGUCGACAAUGGAAAUCUGGAUCAAUGGCUUCAUGGGGAUGUUGGUGAAGUCAGCCCUCUAACAUGGGAUAUUCGAAUGAAUAUUAUAUUGGGGACUGCAAAAGGGUACAGUUCAUAUGCUAAUUUUGACUCUUUUUCUGUAACAUAAAAUAGAAAAUGCAUGUGUAUGAAAGUUUUCACUCAUUUGAUGUUUCCUCUUUGUGCAGGUUGGCCUAUCUUCAUGAGGGUCUUGAACCAAAGGUUGUUCAUCGUGAUGUAAAAUCUAGUAACAUACUGGUUGAUCGCCAAUGGCAUCCCAAGGUGUCUGAUUUUGGGCUUGCCAAGCUUUUAUGCUCUGAGAAUAGUUAUGUGACGACUCGAGUGAUGGGAACAUUUGGGUUAGUUCAAAUAUUUCUCUCAUUUCUUUUCUAUCAAUUUGUUUGUUGGCAAUUGACGUAAACAUAUGCAUCACAGUUAGUUAUGUUCUUUAAGUUUCAAUCUGAUUGGUGGUUUCUUUAGCUAUGUUGCACCAGAAUAUGCUUGCACUGGAAUGUUGAAUGAGAAGAGUGAUGUUUAUAGCUUCGGAAUACUUAUUAUGGAGAUUAUAUCUGGGAGAAGCCCUGUUGAUUAUGGUCGGCCACAAGGGGAGGUUAGUUUUGGAAUGUGUGUUUUCUUAUAAUCAUGUGUUGGAUUUUCUGUUUGCUGUUGAAAUUUAAUUAUAACGUCUUCUUUUUUCAGGUUAAUCUAGUUGAAUGGUUAAAAAACUUGGUCGGAAACCGAAAAGCUGAGGAAGUAGUUGAUCCUAAGUUGCCUGAGAUGCCUGCUUCGAAAGCACUUAAACGUGCUCUGCUGGUUGCUCUUCGAUGUGUUGAUCCUGAUGCCACAAAAAGACCCAAAAUGGGACAUGUGAUCCACAUGUUGGAGGCUGAUGACUUGCUAUUCCGUGAUGUAUGUGUGACAAAAAUUGAAUACGUAGAUUUGUGAAGACCUUGUUUUCUUGAUCAAUACUUAACUCUCUAUCCAAUUUUGUUCAUUAUAUGCAGGAAAGACAACCAGGGAGAGAUAAUUCCAGUUCAGAUCUCAAUUAUCGACGGGAGAAUCAUGUUGGCAUGAAAAUGGGGGAUAAAGAUAAACACUUGAGUGAAGGGACUUCUGAUACUAGUGAAGGUGAUAGUGGUAGGAACCAUAAUCAACCAACAAGGUGGAGAUAAUACCAUUGGGAAAGGAUUAGGUGACUAACAGUUUUAUCACCGGAGUUUUUGAAUCUCAUUUUUCUUCUACCCUGAUUCUGCCUGUAUCUUUUUCAAUAAUGUGCAUUUGUUUUCAUGCUUAGUUACAUAAUUUCAUAGGAUAUGCAUCAAAUUAUGAUGCUCUUGUACAAUAUUGAAUCAGAUGUGUCCAUCAUUCUUAUAGGUGUUCUGUUGUAAAACAAUAUAUCAAUAGUGUUACAUCAAUAUAAAUAUUCUUUUCUCUGUGGUCACAUUCUAUUCUUCUUCCUCAUCCGCUCUUCUUUCAAUUUCUUUGUCCACAUUCUAGUUGCUUCAAGAGUAGAGUAAUAUAGGCAUGGCUAUCAUGUUCAUGAACUAUGAUUCUGUUGCCAACUUUGUGUCACCAUCAUUGCCAGCCUUGGAUCAGAUGGCAUGCAGAACAUUGAGGACCCACUUCCAGAGUUCCUGUGAUAGAAGAUUUUAGAUGACAUCAACAUCAGUGCCUUGGAUGGUUUCUGGGAAUUGGACCCAGCAGCCAGCUAAAGUCAGCUGAAACAGCUGCUGUUGCUACUAGCCUACAAAGCCUGCAGCUUCUCUCAUUCAUGUGGCUCUUCUUGUCCUUGUUGGCUAGGCAACUGAGGAAGUGAGGAUUAGGGUUGGGGAUGGAACUGGCAUGAGGUCAGGCCUGAGGUUUCAACAUCAAUGCCAGUACAUCUGAACAUGCUAGCUCUUGCCCUCUCUGAGCUUCACAUUACUUGUCUUGAUUAAUGAUAACGGUAAGCUGGCCAUGCAUGUUUUGGGGCAGAAUCCUUCUGUCUUUUGCAGGAGCCUGCUUUGUUAGGUUGAUUUAUUUAGCAGCGUGUACUUUGUCUCUUCUAUUCUUCUGAAUCUUUCUGCUUAACUAUUAGUAUGACUCCAAUUUGCUUGCCCUGCUUAUCUCAUAUAGAGACUUUUUCAGUUCAUCUCCGUGCCGUUGCUUAAACGUUACAUUGUUGACUUCCAGCAAGAAAUUAUGUCAAAAAGGCAUGUGUAAUCUGUUCACGCUCUGCCGACCAUUUCACGAGCUGAGCUUAGCUACUCUACCGAUAGUAUGCACGCGUGAGCUAUUGUUGAUUUAUGUUCGAUUUCGGUAGAUCAUCCUAAGUUGGAUAGUAAAUCUAUAUAGAAGUCACUUUGUGACUAUUUUACUUUGCUCAUGGAGUCAUGGUGAUUUGUUAACUCUUUGGCAUAUUGUUCUCCCAAAUUGAAAUGUUAUAAAUGUAUUGUACUUGCAGUCUUUGUUGAUCAGUUCGCUCUCUCUUCUAAUCUUUAAUAAUUAGCCACCGACUAGUAUUCUGCUAAACCUCACCAAUCUGAGUUGAUAGACCACAAAACCCCUCUAUUAUGUAUAACCCGAUCCGAAAAGAUCUCAUGCUCUCAUCCAUGUCAAGUGCUGACAAAUUAUUAUCAAUGGAACAAUACAAAUCAUGUGUAAUAGUAUGAUAUUUUUAGACAAGUAGCCGCAGAUUUACGGGUUACAAGUGAAAACAAUUGCCCCAGUCAAUUUUUCUUACUUUCACUCGUAGCUUAACAGUUUGGUUGGGUGCACAUAGUUGUUUUAAAAUGAGUGAUUGCGAAAGGAAAGAAGAUUGGCAUUUAUAUAUAUAUAUAUAUAUAUAUAUAUAUAUAUAUCAUCAAUUAUUAAUUAUUAGAUAAACAAUUAAUAUGUUAUAACGAAUCUACUGUGAGUUUUCUCAUUUAUAAAAAGAGACUUAUGUCACUAGAUCAAACGGUACUGAGCUACAUCAUCAAUUAUUGAAUACAGACAUCUCAUUUUCAUUAAUUAUUUUAAAAGUACUUUAAUUUAAGAUCCUUACUUAAGAUUGAAGUAGCCGGCUAUACGCACCACCGACCAUGAUUCAAAAAUAUAAAAAGGAAAAGGAAAUGACAAGUUUAGUUACCUAAAAUAUGUAUGGAAAGGGAAACGAAACCAAUGUAUGGCUUUGAAAGUGAAGCCUUUGUAUCAAAAACUAUAUUUGGAGAUCCAAUUACAUGAUAAAAGCCAUAACAGUAGGUAAUUGGAGCCUAAUUCUUAUCCAAAAAGAAUCUUAAUACUCAGUUCCGUAUCCUUGAGAAUUUAUUGUCUUUCACGCUUUUAUAAGUUUCAUUGAAUUUGAAAGUACUAAUACAUAUAGACAUCAGCUGCGCUUUUAAUAUGACAUGAUACAUUUUGUUGAAUUAGAAAGUAUUAAUACAUGCUGACACCAGCUGUACUUUCAGAAGCUUUAACGCAGAUGUAUGCACAUUUUAUUCAAUGCGUAGCAAAUGACGUUUCAAUUCAAUUACCAAAUGUGAAGGUGAAUAAAAUGCAAGUAAGUAUCUAUAUGAAAAGGUGGAUAUCGAAAUCUGAUUACAUAAUGGCAGAGAUAUUCAAAUUUUCAUUCUUAUAUCUUCAGCAAUUUAUUAUCACUUUUAUUUUUUUAUCCCUACUUAUUUUCAUUCCUAUUUUUUUUUUUUCGGAAAUGAAUUGUCUUUCCUACUUUAACAAUACCAAGAGGGUUGUAUUUUUCCCUUUAUUGAACUGGAAAGUAUUGUAUACGCGUAGACGCGUACAUACCACCCCGUACUUUCCAUGCACCUGCCCAAAAAGUAUGUACAUUUAUACGCGGCCGUCAAACACUGUACUACUCAGACUUUUCAAAGAACCCCACCCAACCACACUCCGCCACGUACGCAUUCAAUCUUCCAACUCCAAUCUCCUGCCUGCAACCCCACCAUAACAACCGAAGCUCCUCGAACCAAACGGUAACAUCUACCUCCCCACUCCUUACCUCCCACUCGUUUCCCCCCACGUGUCUCCCUUCUUCGUACAACCCCGGUGAGCGUAGCACAACCCCUUCACCUACUAAUCCAGAACCAACCGAACCCAGCCUCACAUUUUCAACGCCGAAGAGUCGUGGAAACCCUCAUCGAAAUUUCUUGACAUCUAAAUCUUCCUAAUCAGGUUUGAUAUUCUCUCCUUCAAUCUCUAUGUAGCUCUAUUUCUCAUACCAAUUUCAAUUCCAUCAGUAAAAAAGAAAAUAUAAUUUAAUUAGUUUUUUGGUUUUUGGAUCUAGUUUUGUGGUAGAUCUAGCUUAGGGUUUGUGUCUGUGAAUAUUUGAGUCAUCGGUGAAGAUUUCUUAACGAUCUAGCGGCUGCUUUGUUUGGGUAAGUGGAUCCAUGUAUGAAAGUGUCUGAAUUUUGGAUAUUAUGCUUGCGUUUGUUUGAAAUUGUGGUGUUUGCGUUGGUAUGUGAAGAAAAUUGUGUGAUGAUAAGAUAUUUGAUUGGGUAAGGUGUUGUUUUUGUUUAGUUUGGUUUCCGGUUGCGAUGAUUUGUGGAAUUUUGAUCAGGUGUAUCGUGUGUAUGAGGCUGAAGUUUGGGGAUUUGGGUAGAAAUUUGGGGUUUCUUUACAAACUGGAGAUGGCUGAAGUUCGAUGUGUUUAUACUGGUGGACCGUCGGGUUGGUGUUGAGGGAAAGUUGUAGACUUGAACGAAACAAGAGAACAGAUUAAGAUAAAUCCUUUCCAAUAUAAAUUUUAGCUUUGCGUAUCGUUGUAUAGUUAUUUCGGUGCUUUUAGGCUGAAGAUAUGACACGAUUGCAGAUAUGACACGAUGUCUUAUUAAUUUGUCGUGCCGAAGAAGCAAUUUUGUUAAAUUUACCAAAGCGGCUGAUUAAGAAUGUUGAAUAACUCAUUUUAUAUGGAAACAAUUGUAUGAACUUUUGAGUAGUGUCCACAGAUUGGUAGAUAUUAAGAAUUUAAGAGACAAACUGUGGCUUCCAAUUUAUCUGUUCUCCAGUUCAUGUAGGCAUUAUCAUUAUUUGAGAAUUACUCUAUCUUCUGGGAUUUAGUGAAAGAUUGAGUAUGUCAUUUUUUUUGCUGUUGUCUUCUCGAUUACUAGUGUUGUAAAUGUUCUUUAGUCUUUGAUUUUGUUGUUGUCGCUGAUUUGCAGUUUAAUGUUUAUUUCUUUUUGCAGUAAUACUAGUAAUGAGUCGUCCACAGGCCCCACACCGUCCUUUCUUCCAUUUUGGAAACCCUUUCCGGAUGAUUUCGCCAAAGGGUUCUCAAAUGACUCCAAACCUUUGUGCAUUGCUGAACACUUUUGAGGAAACAUUGGCCGGAAGGUUGAGAAAGCUCAACCCAAAAGAUAAGAAUGAUGUUCUUAGCUUGUCAUGGAUGAAUUUAGCUAUGGAGUCGCUUUGUGGAACUCAUAAUGACAUAAAAACUCUUAUAGCUGAGAUGGAUCUUCCUGUGAGUGCCUGGGAUGAGAAGUGGAUUGACGUGUACUUGGACAUCAGUGUAAAGUUGCUUGAUAUAUGCAUUGUCUUCAGCUCUGAGAUCUCGCGCUUAAACCAGGGACAUCUUUUCCUUCAGUUUGUGUUGCAUAAUUUGAAAUCAGCCUCUUCACAGCAAUUUAUUCGUGCCCGUUCUUCAGUUGAUGACUGGAAGAAUCAUAUUGCUUCAAAGAACCCCAGGGUUGAGAACUGUAGCACCAUUUUGGACAAGCUCAAGGAAUCACUGGAUCUACCAAAGGUUAAGAACUCUGCCAAAGGGAAAAUUUUAAUGCGUGCUAUGUAUGGAGUGAAGGUGUUGACAGUAUCUGUUUGUAGUGUCUUUUCUGCAGCGUUUUCUGGUUCUGCAAGCAAGUUGGUAGAUAUGAAUGUCUCUGAGACAUAUUUGUGGGCACAAGCAUUUAAUGACUUACAGAGUAAUGUAAAUGGGGAAAUCAGAAAUGUAUAUUCUAGUGGUAGAGUUACAGUACUGAAAGAGCUGGAAGCAGUUGAUGGUAUUGUGAAGCACUUGUAUCCUAUGAUCCAAGAUGGUGUGGCCCUCGCAGAUGAAGAAGUGUUCAAGAAUUCUAUUUCAGAUUUAGAAAGAAAGGCACAGAGUCUUUCUCAAGGACUUGAUCUUCUGACCAAGGAAGUGGAUGGGUUUUUCCAAAUCCUCUUGACUGGACGCGAUGCCUUGCUUUCUAAGCUGAGAUCAGGUGGAUCAGUCUCUGACCGGAUGCUGAUGGGGAACGUAGAAGGGCAGGUUGUGAGGUGAAUAGCAAAGCUAAUCUCUAACCUUUAUAACGACGGUAUUAGGUAUGGGGCUUUAUGUUUUCUUGUUUUUGUAAGUAUACCGUCUUGUACGGUUAAGUGUAAUCAGUUUGUUGCUAGGUACAAGUUAUGUUGUAUUACUAUGUUAGUGGUUUGUAAAAGUAUGUUGCACUGUGUGUUGACGUUUAUAUAUGAUAUAUGGUUUGGCUUGAAAUUGUGAGGCUUCUCUGCUUUUUUAUUUUGCUUCCAUUGGUUUUAAAUUGAGGAUGCUUCAUUAUUGGUGAACUGAUAUACAAGAUAUGCUAAGCUUGUCACACAAAUCAUCACAUUGUGAACUUUGAAGUUUGGCUCUUGGUGUUAACCUAAAGCUAAAACUUCUUAGCUUCGUUGCCUCUGUGAUUCAUACAAGUUCAAUGUGCUUAUUUCCUAUAUUGGUAGUUGUUUGUAAACUUUUUGAUUCAUAAUUUCAUACAGGCAAAGUUGGGCAUGAUACUUCUGGACUUCACAAGAGAAUCUAGACUCUGUACUGUGUUCUAAUUUCUUGUGUAACUUGAUGCAAUUCCAUAGUAGGGGAAGACCAUCACCAACCAUAAGCAUGAGAACAUGUUAACAGCAAGUGGUGAUGGUCGGAACUUGGGAGAAUUUGGCGGUUUAUUUACCUGACAGCGAUCAGAUAGAUAUGACAUUGGAAUAGUUUGUAUGGCUCUACUGAUAAAUCCUGGGAGAUUCUUGAUGCGGUGGGGAUUCCCUGAUCAACAGGGAUUCGACUUAUGAUUUCUCUGAUGUAAACUGGUUAUGUUUUGGUUUUCCUUCGAACCUUGUCGAUUAUUAUUUGAGACCAUAAUCCCAUUUAUUGUUGAAUCCCAGGUGAUUUGUUAUAAUAGCAAAUCACAUAUACAUCCUUCAAAAGGAUUUGAAACACAAACAAAUCCACUUGUGUUGUUGUUAAACAAAUAAGGACAGUUUUUAACAAAUAAGGACAAAUUGUUUUCUGCUUGUCAUGUGUCAUGGUUUAAUUUACUAAAAUGACCUUAUACAAAAUAAAUCAAACUAAAUCAGACCCCACCAUGUAUUGUUUCAGCUGCUAUUGCAUUUGCUGGAAUGUUGUUGCUACUACACUUCCAAUAAUUGCAAUAGCAGAUUUUUAGUGGUUCAGUUAGUGUAGUAGCAGCUUCAGUAACAAGUUUUCAGUGGCUUAACUAAUGUAAUAACAUGUUUUACUAGAGAGUUAGCUGCUACUACACUUCCCACAAAUGUAGUACCAGGGUUUUAAUGGUUUAGCUAGUGUAGUAGCAACUUCAAUAAGUGUAGUAGCAGGUUUUUAGUAGCUCAGCAAAUGUAGUAGCAAUAGCUAUUUUCAGUGCUAUUGCACUUGCUGGAAUGUUGCUGCUACUAUACUUCUAAUAAAUGCAGUAGCAGAUUUUUAGUAGUUCAAUUAGUGUAGUAGCAACUUCAAUAACUACAGUAGCAGGUUUACAGUAACUCAACUAAUGUAGUAGCAUGUUUUACUAGAGAGUUAGCUGUUACUACACUUCCAACAAAUGUAGUAGCAAAGUUUUAAUGGUUCAGCUAGUAUAGUAGCAGCUUCAGUAAGUGUAGUAGCAGGUUUUUAGUGGCUUAGCAAAUGUAGUAGCAUCAGCUAUUUUCAGUACGUGAUGUAGUAGCAAGUUUUUAUUGGUUCGGCUAGUGUAGUAGCAGGUUCUGUAAAUGCAGUAUUGACAGAAAAAUUCAUUUAUGACUGCUAUUAUUGAUAGAAAAAGUUCAUUUAUGAAUUAUGUUACUGUUCGGUUCUACAAAUCACUCGUUUUUUUUUUUUUACUACACUUGUUGUGGUUAUGCUACUACACUCAUGUUUCAUUAAUUAAGUCUCAUCCAAUUCUAUAGUUCUAUGCAGGCACAUGACGUCAUCUCCUUCGACCCACAGACCAUCAAGCCCUUGGACAAGGCCCAAGAAGAAGCCCAGCUCCUCAACUCAUCCACCGCUUCUUCGCCGCUCAUCACUCUCCCGCUGCACCCCCGUGAGUCUCUCUACACCUCCAACCACAAGGAUUGCAAGUCGUUGGUCUUCACCCGACUCGGUCGCGACUCGGUCCGAGUCAACUCGCUCAACACGAAGCUCUAGCUGGCUUUGCAGGGAGUGAACCGGGCGAAUCUGGAGCCCAUGAGACGGAGAUCCGACCCGAGGACUUGUCAACUCCCGUAACUUCCGGGAUCAGCUUGGGAAGCGGCCAGUUUUUCACACGCAUCGACGUCGGUAGCCCGGCGAAGCAGUUUUACAUGGUGUUGGAUAUCGGCAGUGACGUCAACUGGCUCCAAUGCCAACCUUGCUCCGACUGUUACCAACAAUCUGACCUGAUUUUCGACCCGACCUGAGUCGAUCUAGCAGCGGCGGAGUCGAUCAGCGAAGGUCAAUCUAGCACCGGCAGAGUCGAUCUAGCAAGCGGCGGAGUUGAUCGGCGAGGUCGAUCUAGCAACGGCGAAGUCGAUCGGCGUCGUGUGGUGGAGAGAGAGAGAGAGAGAGAGAGAGAGAGAGAGAGAGAGAGAGAGAGAGAGAGAGAGAGAGAGAGAGAGAGAGAGAGAGAGAGAGAGAGAGAGAGAGAGAGAGAGAGAGAGAGAGAGAGAGAGAAUAUGAUAGAUCGGAGGAAGAGAGAGAAUAUGACAGAUCAGAGGAAGAGAGAGAAUAUGACAGAUCAGAGGAAGAGAGAGAAUAUAUUUUCAGGUAGGGUAUUUUUGGUUGAGACAGUGGCAGUUUUAUAGAUAUUUUAGAAAAGAUUAAUUUUUUGGGUAUUUUGCAUAAAAUUUGCUGAUUUGGUGUGAUAUUAUGCACUAUGGGCCUGGACUUAUGUCCUUAUUUAUUUAAAUCUGUUGAAAGAUAGUUUUUCUGUGUUUUGCAAAUAUCUAUAAUAGUGGGAUGUCAUUUUCUAUAUCACAGUCUAUAUAACCUCAUGGACCAGAACUACUUAAUAUCCCCAGUCAAGUUUCAAUUUGGAGUCCGCCGACUUCUCUGCGUUUCCUUCACGCAUGCCUUUUCUAAUCACUUUUCUUCAGUCAAAUUUGUGUUCAACUUGAACAUGUAAAAUGCAAGACAAAAAAAAAAAAAAAACUAGCAAGACUUUGCAGCUAAUAAUCAACAAUAACUGUGAACACUCAACAAUGAACAUCAUACCUACCACAGGACCCAAUCAAUGAAAUUGAUCAUGCAAGAUAAUUAGAAAGUGUACUCAAGUAGCCAAUCCAUUGUGUGUGAGGACUACCAAUAUAAACGGUUUAUGACCCUACUCAUUUAUAAUUGAUGAAGACUCAUUUAUAACUGAUGAAGAAAUAGGACGAGGCAAUGGAAUAAUGAAAUGACAUCAUGCAGCUCGAGUCAUUCGUGUUAAAUCUGUAUUGUUCAUACAUGAUCCUAGUUUUUGAUUUACUUUAUUUGGGUCAAGGUGUUCAUACAAGACCAGAAGGAAGCUUAAAGGGUCAGAAUUAUGACUUUAGACUUGUUGAUUCUUGUGUGAUUUGUGAUCGAAUGGACUAUGAAUUGUCAUUUACCCAUUAUCAAUAAUACAUUAUGUUCUUAACUUGUAUGAGAUUUACGGUUAAAUUGAGAUUGUUCUACCACAUUUGAAUAUUAUACCUAGUUAUUUGUAUGUGUAAGAUUUUAUGUCAACAAUGAGCUAGUAUUCACCACAUGAAGUUGAACACACACGAAAAGAACAAACAAAACUUAUGUUCACAAUUAACGUUUUAUCCAUAUUAUCCGACAAUAAAAAACCUAAUAUAAAACAAAGUUUGUAUACUUUUACAUUGAUCGAUCUUUCUAUCAUUUAACAUUCAUUCAAUCGGUUUUACUUUUUAGUUUACUCUAAAUCCAAACCCUAUUUGAUAAGUCUUAGAUUUUCGAUUAAUUUUCAGCUCGUUUAGCUCUCACAUCUCUAAUAGUACUUCAACACUUUUCAACCCCCAUCUCAAUUUGUCUCAAAACCCAAAGAUCACAGACAACACACCAAACCCUCACAUAAAGAAGAGUCAAAACUCAAAAAGCUUCAAUUUUUUCCUCCACGGGUUUUCCAGUUGAAAAAGCUUUCUUCUAUUUUUCUUUACCUUUCUUGCCCAAACGAGCUACUAAUCAAUACAUAGACCUACCGACACCAAUCUCACACUCCCACCUCUCCUCCUCCUCCAUUAGCUUCUCUUCCAGCUUUGUGGCCACUAAAUCUCAUCUGGGUCUCCACCCAUUUCGGAUUCUGACCCGACCCAACUGCCAUGGAGUCCAGCUCUGCUUCUGGAGCUGACCACAACAUCAGAGGGGUACCAACCCACGGUGGCCGGUACGUUCAGUACAAUGUGUAUGGGAAUCUCUUUGAGGUUUCCAGGAAGUAUGUGCCUCCUAUCAGGCCAGUUGGGAGAGGCGCCUAUGGUAUUGUUUGGUAAGAUUCUUGUUUUUUACUUGGUUCUUUGAUUUUUCUUGGUUCAUUAAAGUUUGAGGCUUUUUGGGUUUUGUGGUGAUUUCUGGUUCUUGAAGUUGUUGGGUUUAGUUUGGUUUGUGAGUUAAUGGUUUCGUGGAAAAAGCACUUUGUAAUUGUGAUCAAGGUAUUCCUUUGAUUAUGUUAUGUGGGUGUAGGUUGGAAAGUUUGGUUCUUUAUGAAGAUCUCUAUUUGGGAAUUAGCUGGGUUUGUUAAAGAUAGUAGCUUUCUUUGUGUGUAGGUUUGUUUCUAUUUUUGUUUUGGUGGGGUUGAAUUUGGUGUGUGCGGGAGGUUUUUCUAAUAUUGGUUAUAACGUUAAGAAGGUUGUGAGUUGGAGAGGGUCUUGUUCUUUGUGUGCAAUAAAUGAAUUGUUAAUUUGUUACACAUAUUCCCAUGAAAUCUGUUAUGUGUUUCUUAAGCCAGGGUAAGUGAUGUUUUAUGUGUUCCUUGUUGGGAGUUUCAGUCCAAAGAUGCAUUGACAUUGUUUUGAGGAGAAUGUGAAUCUAUUAGAUUAAAGAGUACCAUGGUCACUCUGUGUGUUUGAAUUUAACUGGACGAAAUAUUGCAUAUUCCUAAGAAAUUAGGAUGGACAAUGUGAAGCUCUAUUUCCCAUGUUAUUUUAGGGUCGUCAAAAUGAAUUGUCUUUGUCACUUUGCGUAUUAUUCAGUCCAACUCUUGGUGUGUGAUCAUUUUCUUCCUUGUUGAUUCCACUUAUGUUAUUGUUGGUCGUAUUGUACCAUGUUUGAUUAACGGGACUCACAUUUCUGCAUGGAUGUAUGCGUAAGUCUUGUUUCAUUCAUUUUAGUAUGUAAAACUUUAGAACAUAUUGGGUUCUUGUGAAAUCAGGGUUUGUGUAUUUGACUGCAGCCUUUGUUGGGUGUAUGUGCUAUUUCAAGGUUUCAAUCAUGAAUGAUCUUUCCAUUUAUUUGACUUAUGUUCUAUGUGUUAUCAACAAUUUGAAGGAAGAUAAAUUUUUUUGGUUGCUAUUAGUGCUGCUGUGAACGCUGAGACUCAUGAGGAGGUUGCCAUUAAGAAGAUUGGUAAUGCAUUUGACAACAGAAUAGAUGCCAAAAGGACUUUACGCGAAAUUAAACUUCUUCGUCACAUGGAUCAUGAAAAUGUAAUGUUUGACAUUCUUCCCUUCAUGUUCUUAUGAGGAAUUUUUUCUGCCUCCUCCUUGAGCACUCUUUUUUAUCAAGAUACUCUUAUCAUCUAUUCCAAUGUAACUGUUGUAUGUUUUUUUUUAAUUUUUUUUUUUCAUGGAGCCAACAGCUUAUUAGUUUGUUCUUUAUCUGCUCAGGUUAUUGCCAUCAAAGACAUCAUAAGGCCUCCACAGAAGGAGAACUUCAAUGAUGUCUACAUUGUUUAUGAAUUAAUGGACACUGACCUUCAUCAGAUAGUACGGUCCAACCAAUCUUUGACUGAUGACCAUUGCCGGGUUGGUACUAAAUUUUCUUUUGGUUUAUAUAUUAGAGAUGCCAUUUGAAUUUAAGCGCUCAGAUUUUGUAGUUAAUAUACUUGCGGUGGAAUGUUUAAACUUUUGACAGUUUUUUUUUUUUUUAAUAAAUAUUUGCUAAUAUCAUUUGGAUAUAGUACUUCCAUGUAGUUCAUGUGCAAUGUUCAUAAGAAGUCUGGAAUGUUCUAAACUGUUGACAGUGGUUUUUCUUUUUUGUUUUAAAGGCCAAGGUUUAUAGUUGGACACCAGAUUUCUAUUUUUAGGUUACUGGUGAUAGCAAUACAUGCUUGUCACUGAAGUAAGUUGAUUCAAGCAACUGCUGAAGGUGGUACACAUAUUCCUAAAAACUUCUCAGCUUUAUAUAGGACUAAUUAUUUCACAAGUCCUUUCAAAGCUUUAUAAUAAACUGUUUAAGGUGAUCCCCAUUUCAUCUUUUCAAAAAGGUUCUGGUCCUCUGCUUAGGUAGUGAUAUCUCCUCUAGUUUGGUUGGAACUUGGAACAUGGUUCUAUGUCUUUACUUCCAUUUACCUGGAGCUUUCCCAUUCUGAGUGACAAAUUUAGGAAACUUUCACUUGUAGCUCAUCUGUAGUUAUAAAAACAAGUGUAAACUACGACAUAACUUUUGCAUCUAGCAGUUUUCUCAUGAUCUUGAUUUUGCUGUUACAUUUCUGAGCUUUCACUAAUGUUUAUGUUCUACCUUUGCAGUACUUUCUGUAUCAGUUGUUACGAGGGCUCAAAUAUGUACAUUCAGCAGGUGUUUUACAUCGUGAUUUGAAGCCCAGCAAUUUGCUCAUGAAUGCAAAUUGUGAUCUCAAAAUUGGUGAUUUUGGGCUUGCAAGGACAACAUCUGAAACUGAUUUCAUGACCGAGUAUGUUGUUACUCGUUGGUACCGCGCUCCGGAGUUGCUCCUUAAUUGUUCCGAGUACACUGCAGCAAUUGAUAUAUGGUCUGUAGGUUGCAUUCUUGGUGAAAUCAUGACCAGACGGCCCUUAUUCCCUGGCAAAGAUUAUGUGCAUCAGCUGAGACUCAUUACAGAGGUAUUGUUUCUUUAUCUGCAUACUGAACCUAAAUGGGUCUAUCACUUGUUUGUAUAUUUCAAAUCUCUGGGAAUGAUGCAUCUGAUGCAUGUUUAAAUGAUAAAUCUCCAAAAACUUUAAUUUCCACAUGGGGCAGCAGAGACUAUGCAACUUAGGGUGUCAGUUUUUCUUGGUAAUGCUGAUCAUUCUAAACUUUUGGCCCUUAAACAACUCUAUGUCCAGCUAUAUCCUAAUUUCAAAAGUGAAAGAGGAAGCAGUAUAUUUUCAUUUGGCUAGGUUUAGAUUUCUUGUUGCCAAUAGCAGAAAGUGCACCAACCUGAUUGAUUGGAGAAAAAAAAAAUGAGGAGGAGACGAUGGUUGCCACUUAGAUGAAGGUGUUGUGUCUCAAGAUAUGAAGGAUGAGAAUGUGUUUUCCUUCCACCUAUCUUUGUUAAAAAGUAGUUUUUCUCUUGGCUCAUAUAUACAUUCUGAUUGUGACAACUAGUGCAUUGCUGUCUUCCAUUUCUGUUGAGCAGCUAAUAGGUUCACCUGAUGACUCAAGCCUCGGAUUUUUACGAAGUGAUAAUGCCCGAAGAUAUGUCCGACAACUACCUCAGUACGCAAAGAAGGACUUCUCUGUUGGAUUUCCUAAUAUGUCUGCUGGUGCUAUUGAUUUGCUAGAGAAGAUGCUUGUCUUUGACCCAAACAGGCGCAUUACAGGUAUACUUAGUUAUUUGAUUCUGGUAUAAAGUGUAACGAUGAUUUAAGGACCCUGCAGUGUUCAGAGUGAAAUGAAACUAAAAAAUGUCAUGAAAUAAUUUUGAUAUUUGCGGUAGAUCACGUGUUUUUUUGUCUGAACCAUAUUUGGUAGUUGCAUUGACAAUUAUUUUUCUUUGGCAUGCUUUGCAGUUGAUCAGGCUCUUUGCCACCCAUACUUGGCACCUCUUCAUGAUAUUAAUGAGGAGCCUGUCUGCGCAAGUCCUUUCAGUUUUGACUUCGAGCAACCAUCAUUUACAGAAGAGAACAUCAAGGAGCUCAUCUGGAGAGAGUCGGUCAAGUUCAAUCCAGAUCCAAUUCAGUGAAGAUUAUGCACUAGUAUGUUGUACUCUCUUCGUGACCCAAAAACUAUUAUAAUAAUGCUACGUACAACCCCCCUUCAUCCUCCUGGAGAAACAAAUUAUAAAACUUUGUUGGAGAUAUCGGCAUUUAUUGAAAAAUUGUGCGUCAUUAAUACGACUUGUUCAUAUCCUUGGGAUGUCUGUAAGUUUCGAAUGUGUAAAAGGGAUGAAAAUUGAAUGUAAAAAGCUAAAAACAUAAAGACGGGCCUAAGGUAAACCCUAGUCCACCAUUGAAUCCUAGAGAAGCCCGAAAGAAGUAACCAAAGCAAGGCCUAUCAAACAACCUUGACUUUGACGCAACAGCUACCUCUGCUCAUCCUCCCAUCGCACCAUCACAACUCUCUGGCGACCUCGCCACAACAACCCAUCACAUCGUCACGAUCCAUGCUUCCUAAAACCAGACCUUCCAAAUAACCCAUCGCUCCUGCUUCCUUCGAAAACAGCUACCAGCGUUGUCAUUCGUCAAGACAAGGUCCCUAACAAACCCUGGCAAGCACGACCGUUGGAAUACAUAUGUGACUAUCGAAUCCAAGUCAGAAGCAAAACUUGAAAAAACCAUCACCAGCCACUUCACAUGGAGCAACUCAGGCCAUUUGAAACCCAUCCGGCAGUGAAGCUAUGGGCGUCGGCAUGGCCAGGAGACCAGCCUUGACCAAGGCCGCCGCCGGACGAGGUUGUUCCUUGUUACUUGAAAGCCACCGCUUCGCUCUAUAGGGUUUUUCUCAUCCAAAAGAGGUGUAGUUGGUUAGGUAGAGAAGUUUGAAAAUCUUCCGGUCUGUAAUUUUUUUUUUUUAUGCUAAAAGACUAUUAAAAGGAGAAAUAUCUCGAGCAACCAGCUCUUAAGAGAUCAAAAUUGAUAACCGAACUCACAGCCAUGGGAAACCCCACCUCCUAGUAAUGUCGACUCGAAAGCUGGUGGCCUAGGAUAGCCAAAGAAUUAGCAAUAAAAUUAGCUUCACGGAGAGUAUGCUGAAAGCUUAUGCCUUGAAAAAAGCAGACAAUUUUCUUGAUGUCAUGACUUUUCCGGUCUGUUGAUUUCUAGAGAUCUAGGGUUUAUUAUUUUCAAUUUAAAUUUUUUAUUUUAAGUGAUAUGUUGGAUAUUAUAGAGUGUGUGUGCAAAUAUGAUGUGGUAGAUGCCACAUCAUGUUUUAUAUAAAUUAGAAUUAAAUUCAGUUUAUCCCCUAAAUCUUUGGUGGCAAAAUCAGUUCAGUCCUGUAACUUUUUUUUAAAUCAGUUCGCCCCUUCAACUUUCGUAAACACCUUAGUUAGGUCCAAUUUUUAAAUUCCCGUUGAAAUAUGACAUCACCAAAGCUGUUGGAACUGACAAAAGGACCCAUAGUUUUAGACAUUUUAUUGAAAAUGAGGGGAUAAAGCUGAAUUAUGGGUUCCUUUGUCAGUUCCAACAGUUUUGGUGGCGUCAUAUUUUGAGGGAAAUUCAGAAAUUGGACCUAACUGAUGUGUUUACGAAAGUUGAAGGGGCGAACUUAUUUAAAAAAAAGUUACAGGACUGAACUGAUUUUGCCACCAAAAGAUUUAGGGGGUAAACUGAAAUUUUUCCUAUAAAUUAGAUGCAAAUUUUUGGGGGUNUCUAGCUAGCAUCCUNACACAUAUAUAUAUAUAUAUAUAUAUANNNNNNNNNNNNNNNNNNNNNNNNNNNNNNNNNNNNNNNNNNNNNNNNNNNNNNNNNNNNNNNNNNNNNNNNNNNNNNNNNNNNNNNNNNNNNNNNNNNNNNNNNNNNNNNNNNNNNNNNNNNNNNNNNNNNNNNNNNNNNNNNNNNNNNNNNNNNNNNNNNNNNNNNNNNNNNNNNNNNNNNNNNNNNNNNNNNNNNNNNNNNNNNNNNNNNNNNNNNNNNNNNNNNNNNNNNNNNNNNNNNNNNNNNNNNNNNNNNNNNNNNNNNNNNNNNNNNNNNNNNNNNNNNNNNNNNNNNNNNNNNNNNNNNNNNNNNNNNNNNNNNNNNNNNNNNNNNNNNNNNNNNNNNNNNNNNNNNNNNNNNNNNNNNNNNNNNNNNNNNNNNNNNNNNNNNNNNNNNNNNNNNNNNNNNNNNNNNNNNNNNNNNNNNNNNNNNNNNNNNNNNNNNNNNNNNNNNNNNNNNNNNNNNNNNNNNNNNNNNNNNNNNNNNNNNNNNNNNNNNNNNNNNNNNNNNNNNNNNNNNNNNNNNNNNNNNNNNNNNNNNNNNNNNNNNNNNNNNNNNNNNNNNNNNNNNNNNNNNNNNNNNNNNNNNNNNNNNNNNNNNNNNNNNNNNNNNNNNNNNNNNNNNNNNNNNNNNNNNNNNNNNNNNNNNNNNNNNNNNNNNNNNNNNNNNNNNNNNNNNNNNNNNNNNNNNNNNNNNNNNNNNNNNNNNNNNNNNNNNNNNNNNNNNNNNNNNNNNNNNNNNNNNNNNNNNNNNNNNNNNNNNNNNNNNNNNNNNNNNNNNNNNNNNNNNNNNNNNNNNNNNNNNNNNNNNNNNNNNNNNNNNNNNNNNNNNNNNNNNNNNNNNNNNNNNNNNNNNNNNNNNNNNNNNNNNNNNNNNNNNNNNNNNNNNNNNNNNNNNNNNNNNNNNNNNNNNNNNNNNNNNNNNNNNNNNNNNNNNNNNNNNAUCACCCAAAACUUCAAACAAAAUCGAUCUCGUCGGAAAACUGGAAUUCGGCGGACUCGCCGGGGAGGGAAAGUGAUCGGGGACGCUACUGGAGGCCGCUGGGGUGGAGGCGCGCCCUCGCCGGCGCCGUAUGGUGGUGAACGGAGGGAUGUCCUCACUUUAAGGGCGUGCGGACGUCCUCCUCUGAUCCGGACUAUAUAUAUAUAUAUUUUAUCAGGUAAAUUACAACUGCGUGAGUUGAACUCACUACCUCACACUUACUAAAAGGGAGACUAUGCCACUAAACCAAAUAGUACUGGGCGUACUCUUUUCUAUAUUCCGUCUCAGUUUUAGAAAAUAUUAUCCCUUGUUUUCUAAAAAAUGAAAAUGAAAAUGUUUCAAAAGUUGUGUUUUUCCAUUUUACGUGUAAAAUUGAAAACCAUUUUUAAAAGUCUUUUUCUAUAUUUUUGACAGGCAUAAUUACCAAUUUACUACCUUAACUUUUAUCUUGGUGUCAAUUUGCAACCAUAGCUUUUCUAAAUUAGCCAAUUUGUUACCUUAUCUUUUAUUUCAGCCAAUUUGCUACUUUAGGCUUUCAAGAUUAACCAAUUUACUUAUAAAAAUUUCAAUAUCGACUAACUUUAACUUUUGAUUUUUUAGAAUUAAUUCAUGUUUGAAUGAAGAAAUGAACAAAUUAAAAGGACAAAAAGGUAGCAAAUUGGCUAAUUUUGAAAACAUAAGGUAGCAAAUUGACAUAAAUAAUAGUUAGGUUAUCAAAUUGGCUAAUUAUGAAAAGUUGAGAUAGCAAAUUGGCUGAAAUAAUAUCUAGGAUAUGGUAGCAAAUUGACACUAAUGUAAAAGAUAGGGUAAAAAUUUGGCUAACGAACACGUUUUCAAGUUAUUUUCAUUUUACAAAAUGAAAAAGAGGCAUUAAAAACAUUAGUAAAUUACUAUAAAGUUAUUAACUAAAUUUCAGUUUACAAAUACAUCUUUUACAUAAUAUCUUACACAUUUAAGGACAAAUAUUAACAAAUUAGGACAAACUAAUAUCCACAUGUCAUCUGUCACUACAAUUUUACCAUGAUACCCUUCACUACAUAUCAGCUGCUACUGUCGACGAGUAGCACAGUAGCACACUGCCGAGUAGCACAAUAGCACAUUAGGUGCAGUAGCACAUUGGGUGCUACUGCCAAGUAGCACAGUAGAACCUGAUAAAAAAAUGCUAUUGCAAUUUUUUCAGGCAAUUCUCUGGAAUCAAACAAAGCUGCUAUUGUCACGUUAGGAGACCUUCAUAAAGCUGCUACUGUCUAUUACUGUCGACUCCACAGCUGCUAUUGUUGAAUUUCACUACUCAUCUACAAAUUUAUCCUUUCAACAGUAGCAGAAAAUUACCCAUCUAACAAAUCUCAACACCAACAGUAACAAUUUACCGUUCCAAUAGACCACAGUAGCAGCAAAUUAUCCUUCCAAUCUCAACAGUAGCAGCAAAAGGACAAACACACAUAUACAAGCUCUGUUCACCAUUAUCACCAUCGUCCCUUUUUUCUUCCUUCCUCUCUUCUCCCUACAGAAACCCUAACCCAAACCAGACUCGCCGCCGACCCGUUGACCCGACCCCACUUUUGCGGCCAACUCCGGCGAACCUAGUUGACGGCACCGGUCGGAUUCUUUUCCUCUCUUUCAUGCGACCCUCCCUUUGUCAAUGGAUCGUGCCAAUUCAAGCCGGGUAGUGAGUUGGAGCUUCGGCAGUGGGACGACGACGUCAUCGAGGCAGAGCCAUUGUCGAGCCUUGGGUUGAGAGAGAGAGAAAUACGAGGGGUGUAUCAAAUAGUGCCUCGGUGUCAUUGCCAUCAAGGACUCAACGUCAUCGCCGUUGAGGCUUUAGCUUCGGCUUCGUCGUCAUCGACGCUUCGACUUCAUCACCAUGGAGGCUUCGGCUUUGUCGCCGUUGAGGCUUCGGCUUUGUCGCCGACGAGGCUUCGGUGUCGUCGCUGCUGAGGCUUCUGCUUCGUCAUUGUUGAGGCUUUGGAGUCGUCGUCGAGGCUUCGGCGUCGUCGUCUUCUUUGAGGCUUCAAGGGUGGCGUCUUUGUGAUUCUCGUAGGAGAGAGUGUACAGAUCUGGGAGGAGGGAGAGAGAGAGAGAGAGAGAGAGAGAGAGAGAGAGAGAGAGAGAGAGAGAGAGAGAGAGAGAGAGAGAGAGAAGAAGAAGAAGAAGAAUAAGAAGAUCGGUGGCAUAUUCGUAAUUCCAUUAUGAAAAUGAAUAUUUUGGUCUUUUUGAAGUUGAAAAACGGGUUGGGUCUGGUUUUAUGGAUUGUGGUCACUAGACUCAUGUAGUAAUUUGUAUAAAAAAUUAUGAAAAUGGGUUUUUUGUGUUUGUAAAUUUGGUGAGGUAUUACUAUGUAAUUUUCUCUAAAAACAUUACCGAACGCCCGGAGCGGAUUCAGUGCACCUUGGUGCACUGGAACCACUCAUACGGGUCCCACAUUUGUUAACAGAACUUGGUUUGACCGAAGAAGUCCGUUCGAUGAAGACCAAAAAAACAAACUGUAGUGAAAACAAAAUUACUGCAGGCCUAACCAAAAAGGCAGAUGUACAUCCACCAUAUUCACCACGUACGCCGCCGUCAGCACUUCCGGUGGGCAGACUUUUCCGCGCAGUCCUACCCAUCACCGAUGGCCUCAACAACCCUGUCGCCUCCUUGGGAACUUGAUAAACCAGAACACCUUCGAAGAGUCUCCAAAAUCCGCUGCCAAGAUCGAACCCGAUCUCACAGAUUGAAAUCCGACGCCGAAAGACAAGCUCCGGCGACUAAGCUGAAAAAAAAACUCAGAUCUUCAUCCAAGAAACUCGGAUCUUCAAGGAGAGAAAGAUCCGAUUGGUGUACCAGAUCGGAGAGCUCCGAUUGGAUCUUCAGCUAAGAGUAAUUUUCUGGUCAAUUUGCGUUGAAAAAAUUCAGAUCUUCAACGGAAAUUAGUGCGUGUGAUCACGCUUGGGAAAUCCGAUGGAGACGAAGGCCUUCUUGAGAUGGUCGAGGUCGAGGUCGGCGGCGAUGGUGUGGCAGAGGUGGAAGCCGCUAGAGUCGAGGUUGGAGAUGGGUGCCGAUAGCGGCGGAAGAGUUUUUUUAAUUUUUAAUUUUAUUUUUUAUCCUAGCCGUACAUUUACCCUAAUUUUAGUGUUUUUACUCGGUUAAUAGUGUUUUUUUUUUCUAUUUUUUUAACAGUGUUAAUAGAUUAAAUAAAUGAUUGUAAUUAGUUAGUCAUUACUGACUCAUUUGAACCAUGAUACAUUGAAGAACUUUCAUGGAACUAAAACAAAAUGUCAUCAUCCCUGGGUUUGGAAACCAAUGAAAAAAGAUUCUUCACACUAAACUUCAUUAAAGAAAUUGACCAAAAAAAAAAACAACACUUCAUUAAAGACGUGACAAAUUAACAUCACCCAAAUCCCAUUACAAAACUAAAGAAACUAAUAUAGCAAAAAAAUGGUUCACAGCUGGCUUUCCAUGUGAUUUAGAAAACUCUCUUUUUUUUGGUCAAACUGAACUUCAAAGAAACUGAAGUAGAGAAUACAUAAAGAAUUCACUAUUAGAGCAAGUCCACCGGUGGGAAAAAAAUCCAACCCAGGUUGGAUCCACAUGGGCAAAGUAACCCAGCCAAAAAUUUCUUGCUUCCACCCAUAAAUGAGAUUGCUCCCCAAUUCAACCUAGGUUACUUAGAAAAUGAGCAAACUGACCCAGGCUAGAGGAGUGAUCUAGCCCAGGUGAGUUCUGUCCACCUCAGCCCAGGCCACACACGUCGACGCCGGAGGAGGCCUGGUGCACUCGCCUCCCUUUCUUCGACGUCGGAGGAGGCCUGGUCCAAGGCCGGAGGAGGUUUGGUGCACUCGCUGCCGGGGUGGUGCAAGGCAGGGGGAUGCUUGUUGCUGUGCGUGCGGAGGACGCCAGAGGGCUGUCGGGAUGGUUGCGCGCCUGGUCCAAGGCCAGAGGAGGCCUGGUGCACUCGCUGCCGGGAUGGGUGCUCGCCGGCGGCAGCCUAGAGAAGAAAUAUGGGUGCCCAAAGAAGAAAUACAGCAACCCAGAGAAAAAAGAAAAUAGAAGAAAGAGAAGAAACUACGGCAGCCCAAAGAAAAGUAUUUUUUCUUUAGGGAUUUUUUCUUUUUUGUAUUUAUAAAUUUAUAGAAAAAAUAUGUAAAAAUAAAUAAAUUAUAUUGUAUGAAUUUCAAUCUUUUUUGUCAUUUCUAAAAAAAAUAUAUUAACUGGAUUGAUAGCUAAUUUAUAUAUGCUUAGUUAAUUUAGAUUGUGUUUUUCAUUAGACAAUAUUCAAAUAAAAGUAUUUUUUAAGCUUGACUUGUUACUUAAAUGUCAUAAAUAAAACAUUAAUUUUAAUAUGUCAUAUAAUAUAUAAAAAUUAUUAUUUAUUUAUACAUAAAAUGAUUAUUCACACUUAAAAACGUUUUUUUUAAUUUAAUAAACAGUUACUGCCACGUGGCAGCAAUCUCACAUUUCAUACGGGUGGAAACUGCUGCCCAGUCAUAGUAACCCAGAGUGACCCAGAUCACUAUAUUCAUUCUAACUCAACGGGUGAACUUGCUCUUAUAAGGUUCAGAGCCCCACAUGCCAGUACCCUACUGUCUUUCACGAUUUAGAGCUCCAAAUGCUCAAGGGCACGUAUAGGCCUCAUCAUGGCUAGGCUAGGACCGGUCCUAUCUUAAAUUUUAAGACUUAAGGUAAGGUUAGGUAGGAUUUUGACUUGGUCAACAAAAUUUAGAGUCGGGUAGGGUCGGGCCAAGGCUCAAAUAUUUGCAAACCCUUACCCACCCUUAAAGCCUAUUUCGUUAGGGCUAAUAGGGCAGACCCUUUAAAUAGGGCUAAAUAGGGCCGAAAUGACCGAAUAUGACGUUAUUUUGUUAAACGAAAUAAAUUCAUGAGUUUUAAUUUUUUUUUCUCAUAUAUUACCUCAAGGGAUAUAUGUGAUACAAUACUCUAUUUUUAGUCCUAUUUAACAUACAUAUACAUUAUAUUUAACUUAAAACAUUUAGAAUUAUUAAUCUAAGUAGUUAUAUUCAUAUAUUUCAUUAAUUAUCUCUCUAAAUCACCAAAAUUUAAUCGCUAUUUAACAAAGAAAAAUACAAAUUAAAGAAAUAAAACUUACAAGAUUAGUUGUAUUGUAUAAAAAAAUAAGAAACAUAUUAAAAACAAUAGAAAAUAAGUAAUUAUUAGAGCCUAAAGGGCGAGCUUUUAGGGCCGGGCUUGGCCCUAAGGGCUCAAUAGGAUAGGGUCGUAGGGUAGAGUCGGGUUUCAUUUGCUUGACUCUUACCCUACCCUAAUUGAAAAGGGCUAGGGCCGGCCCGCCCUAAUGGAGGGUCGGGUAAGGCUUCAGCCCUAUAGGGUAGGGCGAGUUUUAGAGCGGGCUAGGGCCAAAAUGCCAAAUGAUGAGGCCUAAGCACGUACAAUCCAAAAGAAUCAAAUUUGCCAACCAAUAAAUUUGUUAAAUUUACCAACCACCCAUGAGCAUCCAAUCAAAAACCCAUAAUCAUGGUCAACUCUCUCUCUCUCUCNNNNNNNNNNNNNNNNNNNNNNNNNNNNNNNNNNNNNNNNNNNNNNNNNNNNNNNNNNNNNNNNNNNNNNNNNNNNNNNNNNNNNNNNNNNNNNNNNNNNNNNNNNNNNNNNNNNNNNNNNNNNNNNNNNNNNNNNNNNNNNNNNNNNNNNNNNNNNNNNNNNNNNNNNNNNNNNNNNNNNNNNNNNNNNNNNNNNNNNNNNNNNNNNNNNNNNNNNNNNNNNNNNNNNNNNNNNNNNNNNNNNNNNNNNNNNNNNNNNNNNNNNNNNNNNNNNNNNNNNNNNNNNNNNNNNNNNNNNNNNNNNNNNNNNNNNNNNNNNNNNNNNNNNNNNNNNNNNNNNNNNNNNNNNNNNNNNNNNNNNNNNNNNNNNNNNNNNNNNNNNNNNNNNNNNNNNNNNNNNNNNNNNNNNNNNNNNNNNNNNNNNNNNNNNNNNNNNNNNNNNNNNNNNNNNNNNNNNNNNNNNNNNNNNNNNNNNNNNNNNNNNNNNNNNNNNNNNNNNNNNNNNNNNNNNNNNNNNNNNNNNNNNNNNNNNNNNNNNNNNNNNNNNNNNNNNNNNNNNNNNNNNNNNNNNNNNNNNNNNNNNNNNNNNNNNNNNNNNNNNNNNNNNNNNNNNNNNNNNNNNNNNNNNNNNNNNNNNNNNNNNNNNNNNNNNNNNNNNNNNNNNNNNNNNCUACUCUACUCUCUACUCUCUCUCUCUCUCUCUCUCUCUCUCUCUCUCUCUCUCUCUCUCUCUCUCUCUCUCUCUCUCUCUCUCUCUCUCUCUCUCUCUCCAGUUUUUGAUUGGAUGGUCAUAGAUGGUUGGCAAAUUUGAUUCCCAAUCCAAAUAUCUCAGGGCCGAUGUUCAAAGUUAGAUCCGAUCAUCACUGAUUAUAAUGGUUUUAAAUAAAAUUGUGUUACUAACGAGAUGUUAAAAUAAUCAGUUAUGAAUUAAAGUAAAUAUAUUAUUUCGUGUUAGACAAAUAUUAUUUUUAGAAGCACUAUCAAAACGAUUACGCUUAGGAAGAGACUUUCCUGGCCAGCCAUAGUUAGGUGAAACUGACCAUACCCAAUGAGGAAAGGACACCUGUACUUUUAGAAAAGUUUUGUUGUAAUUUAAGGACAACCCAAAUAGAAAAAAGACUGAUUGUAUAGUACAAACAAUAAAACAGACAAGGAUAGGUGGUCGCUUAGUCAUCUAAUCAAGUGAUUCUUUUGGUCUUGUCGAUUAUCAAUUUGAGAAUCUUAAUUAAGGACAAUAAUCACCAAGCACAAACAAAUUAGAAUAUACCAUAAAGACCAGCAGCAUCUUUAUGAGAAUUGUUGUAAAUAUAUUUCAAAAGUAAAUAUUUUGGUUGCUCCUAUACUCUGCUGAUCUACAAUUUUUACUAAAAAGUAUCCACUCUAAUUUACCAAACACAGUAGAAUAUAUAAUUUUAGAUCAAUUUGAUAUUUCAAAAACAAACGCCACCUUAAUGAUUUUUGUCCAAACUUGAGCUACAGGGUUAGACAUAAUUUUAAGGGCAUUUAGAUAGCUGUGGGUCAGACGUACGAGAAAACUCUACAAUGUGUUAAUGUAUGUGUCACAUUCUGGUCUCGACGUCGGUGGGUUUUAAGUAGUGGACGCCGAUUCUAAGGUGUGAGUGUUACAGUAUAGAAUGUAAAUAAAAACAUUAUUUUCUAGACUUCUUUCUAGGCUUAUCGUCUACCAUUUUCUCGGCUCCGUCAAAUAUUAAUACAUCUUUGCAAAGAUUUCAAGAAGGAAAACGAAUAUGGUUGUAGUUCGGAGGUAUUUUGUAGACUCUUCUUUCUAGGCUCAUCGUCUACCAUUUUCUCCGCUCGGUCAAAUCUUAAUACAUCUCUGCAAACUACCAUUUUCUUCGCUCGGUCAAAUCUUAAUACAUCUUAAAGUAGAGAUUUCAAGAAUGUAAACGAAUAUGGCUAUAGUUCGGGGGUCUUUGUGACUAAUCCCUUCAAUAUAACUUAAACAUCACUCCUAUAUAUACGAGUCCAUUGUUGGUGUAUUACUCAAAUGUAGGUACUAGUAGCAAACUAGCAAUAUGAGUCCACCGACAAUAGCCAUUUUCCUAAUCUUCUUCUCAUGUCUCUGGAUCUUGAUCCAAACUCUAAUCUCAAAGUUAAAGAAGAAAAAACUUCCACCUGGCCCCUGGUCACUACCAAUACUUGGCAACCUUCAUAUGCUAAGCAACCUCCCACAUCGAAGCCUCCAUGACUUGGCCAAAAAAUAUGGACCCAUAAUGUCUCUACGUCUUGGCAACAUUCCCACCAUCGUAGUCUCUUCCCCAGAAGCUGCAGAGCUAUUCCUUAAAACCCAUGACGCCAACUUUGCUGGCCGACCCAGAUUCCAAGCCUUAGACUUCAUGUCCUCUGGUGUGGGUCUAGCUGAGUACGGUCCGUACCAGCGCCAUGUUCGGAAGCUCUGCUCACUUCAUCUUCUGUGUCCCUCGAAAUUACAGGUUUUUGCUCCGUUGAGAAGGGAGGAGAUAGGACUGAUGGUGCAGUCGAUGAAGAACGCUGGAGAGAAAGGUGAACUGGUAGAUGUUAAUGAGAAGAUUUUUGAGCUGAAUGAGGACAUAAUGUAUAGGAUGGUAUUGGGUUGCAAAACGGAUGAUAGGUUUGAUUUGAAGGGGAUUCUUAAAGAGACUUUUCUCGCAUUGGGGGCAUUCAAUUUAGCUGAUUUUUUUCCUUACCUUUGUUCACUUGAUAUUCAGGUACGUACAUCUCGACUUCUCGAAUAUGAGAUUCCCAUUACUACUAGAUCCACGCUAUUCAUUUUAGAAGUAGUUUUUUUUUUUUUUUUUUUUUUUUUUUUUUNNNNNNNNNNNNNNNNNNNNNNNNNNNNNNNNNNNNNNNNNNNNNNNNNNNNNNNNNNNNNNNNNNNNNNNNNNNNNNNNNNNNNNNNNNNNNNNNNNNNNNNNNNNNNNNNNNNNNNNNNNNNNNNNNNNNNNNNNNNNNNNNNNNNNNNNNNNNNNNNNNNNNNNNNNNNNNNNNNNNNNNNNNNNNNNNNNNNNNNNNNNNNNNNNNNNNNNNNNNNNNNNNNNNNNNNNNNNNNNNNNNNNNNNNNNNNNNNNNNNNNNNNNNNNNNNNNNNNNNNNNNNNNNNNNNNNNNNNNNNNNNNNNNNNNNNNNNNNNNNNNNNNNNNNNNNNNNNNNNNNNNNNNNNNNNNNNNNNNNNNNNNNNNNNNNNNNNNNNNNNNNNNNNNNNNNNNNNNNNNNNNNNNNNNNNNNNNNNNNNNNNNNNNNNNNNNNNNNNNNNAAUACUAUGGAAAUUAAUAGAAAUAGGACAAGUUUGUAAGAAAAGAAAUAGAUAAAAGAUAAGGGUAAAAUAUUGUAUAGUCUUUGUGGUUUAAAGUCGACAUUUGUUUAGUCUUUAUGGUUUUAUUUUAAUCUGAAUACUUCUUAAAGUCACGAUUUUUCAUCCAAAUAGUCCUUAUGGCCUUUAACUGAGAAAAUUGUCGGAAUGACUAUUUGGAUUAAAAAUCAUAACUUUAAGGACUAUUCAGAUUAAAAUAAAACCAUAAAAACUAAACAUAUGUCGACUUUAAACCACAAGGACUAAAUAAAUUUCAAUUCAAAACAUAACAAAGAAGAAAUGGAAGUACAUGGAAAAAGCAAGACUUAGGACAAGAUUGUAAGAGCAUCUCCAACAACUCUUAUAUAAUUUCUUUAUUAUAGAAAAGGAAAUCACAAAAUCUCUAUAAAAAAAAAUGGCUAAACUCUAAUAGCUCUUCUAUUCUACUCUACAAAAUUAAAUGUUUUUUUGUAUAAUUUAAUGAAAGGUGUGUCUAUUGCCACCUCACAAACCAUUUUGUUCACCCCACGUUCUCUGCACAUCUCAUUUAUAUAUUUUUAAUUGUAAGUCUACUUUAUUCACCUAUUUACAAUACCUAAAAUACCAUUUUCCCAUUUUUGCUUUGUUCACCCUAAAUUCUUUUUUCACCCUACAUAUAUUUUUUUCAAUUUCAAAUUUACUUUGUUCACCCUACAUUCGAUCUCUUCUCACCCCGCUUAUAUAAUUUUUAAUUUUUAAUUUUUAAUUUACUUUAUUCACCGAUUUGCAAUACACACAAUAUCAUCAUCUUCCAAUAGUCAUUGAACUCCAAAAACAAAAUAAAAUUGAAGAAAACCAUAAGAUUAAUAUCAUUUGGGUAAGUGGAAUCACAAACUGAACAAUAAAAAUCACAUUAAAGUAUAAAUCCCAAUUAAAAAACAAGGAAAAAUUCUCAAACUUAACAACUCAUUGGUAUCUGUCGAUAUCAAGAUGCACAAUGUCUGUAAACUUUACUUGGAAAAAGCUCUGACGCCAAUGAAAAAAAAACAAAUCAAAUAUAUAUAAGUGAGCGACUAGACAUGAAAAUUUACAUACAAAAUCGAUAUGAGAAAUAAUAAGUAAAGAAAUAGACGGAACAUCAACAAAGAAAACAAAAAAUACAAACAGUUCACCUCAUCUUUAGUUGAAUGUUAGUGUCUUCUUCAGAUUUCAUAGAAAGAUCGAAUAUGAUAAACUCUGGGUUAAAGUUUAUGAAGUACGUGUUUAACAAAAAAAAAACUAUAAUUUGUAACAACUUAUUGUCCUUGCUGUAAUUUUGGUAUAUUAGUCAUUCAAUAAAUCAAUAACGUGUGGGGUGAUUAAAAUGGUUUAUGGGGUGACAAUAGAUGCACCCUUUAAUGAAUCUAUAUAUUUAUUCAAAUCAAAAUCACAUGUUGCAUCCUUUAAUUUCUUGAUCUUCCACUAGAGAGAUGAAAUGACAUUUUUUCUUUAUUUUUUAGAAGAGAAAGUGAAUUCUAAAAGACAAACAAUAAAUUUUAGAGAUUUGUCCAUGAAAUAUACAAAUUUUGAGAAUUCUAUAAAUAUAGAGGAUAUGUUUCUCUCUCUUUAUACUUUUUGUAUUAUAGAGGAUGCUUUAUAUGAGCUGGUGGAGCCAAAAAAUAGUGUUUUUCAUCUAAAAUAUAUAUAAUUCUUGUUUUACAUGAGCUGUUGGAGAUGCUCUAAGAAAAAAGAAUAAGGAAAACAAAGAAGAAAUAGAGAUUAUCAAGACUCGAACCCAAAUUGGCCACUUUCUAGGCUAAUGACUGAACCAACUCAACUACAACAGCUUAUAGAACAAGAAGCAAAACUACAUGGUAAAUUAAGGAGAGAAUUUUUGUCUAGGCUUAAGCCCAUAAAGUCUUUUGCAUAGAUUCGCCCCUGGCCACGACCUCUAGCCACUUCACCACCAUUACUGUGGUGGCGACGAAUCUAUCCUAGUUAACUGCUCUUUCCCAAUACCAAUAUUCACGUUGAUAUGUAUAGAGUAGUGCUAGAAAAAAUUAAAUGAUUUAGUGUCUAACAUUAUAAAUACUAGUCUCUUAACAUGUGCAAUGUCAAUUUUCAUUUUCCUAGAGAAAAUUAGAUAAAGAUGUAGUGGGACAACUAUGUAAAUAGAUAUUUAGUUGGGCAGAAAUACAAAAUGCAAUAGAUAAAUCAUAUUACGUUCUUAACCUUGUUUAAUGUUUGCAUAUUCGUCAACAUUUUGCAAUAUGACCGGUAAAUUGGGAAGUUCAAUUUUUUAGUAAAGCUUUGACACCAAAACUUGAGCUUCCCAUUAUAAGAGUUGAGACUUCCCAUUAUAAUUACAACUUAAUUGGUCGCCAUAGUUCUGUUUGGAUCAUAACGAAAUAUUUGGUAACAGGAUCAUCAUGAACACUUUGUAGAAUAUAAAAGGAUUUAUAUUUGUUUAGAAUAAUCGCCAUUAUUCAAAUCUUGACCCUCUUAAUGUGCACAUACAAAGCUCAUUUAAAUAUACUGCGUCAUGAAAUAUUUCAAUCAACCUAACCAUUGCUUAAUAUAUUUCUCUCAGGGAUUGAGUAGGCGCUUCAAGAGAAAUAGCAAGAGAAUUGAUCUACUCUUGGAGACCAUAAUUCAGGACCAUGAACAAGCUAACAAGACUGAGAUGAGGAGUGGACAAAGAGGCCAUGACCAUGACUUUGUAGACAUGUUACUUUCGUUAAUGAACCAGCCAUUAAAUUUCGACGGGCAAGUACACCUGAUGGACCGAACAAACAUGAAAGCAAUCAUAUUCGACAUGAUCGUAGCUUCUACCCACACUUCAGCUGUCAUGGUUGUAUGGAUCUUCUCUGAGCUCAUGCGCCAUCCGAGGGUCAUGAAAAAUCUCCAACAAGAGCUCGACAGCGUGAUUGGCAAGGAUCGAAUGGUUCAAGAAGUUACUGAUUUGCCAAAGCUAGGUUACUUGAAUAUGGUGGUGAAGGAGACCUUUAGACUCCACCCUGCUGGACCGUUGCUAUUUCCACAUGAAUCCAUCAAUGAUACUACGGUUCAAGGAUUCAAGAUAGCUAAGAAAUCUAGAAUUCUAAUAAAUGUUUGGAGCAUUGGAAGAGAUCCUAAACUUUGGUCAGAAAAUGUGGAGGAGUUCUAUCCUGAAAGGUUCUUGGAUAGCAAAAUAGACCUCCAAGGACAAGACUUCCAGCUCAUACCAUUUGGAUCAGGUAGAAGAGGGUGUCCGGGUAUGAAAUUAGGCCUAACCACAGUUCAGUUAGUGGUUGCACAUUUGGCGCACUGCUUUGACUGGGAGCUACCAGGUGGGUUGCAACCUCAAGACUUGGAUAUGUCUGAGAAAUUCGAAAUGUCUUUGGAGAAAGCCGUUCACGUACUUGCCAAGCCGACCUACCGCCUGCAUAUAUAAUCCACCGGGCAGUCAUGUCUCUAAAGUGGUUUUUCAGAAAUGUUUGCCGACGUUAAUCACUAUGGGAGAAAACAAAGUACAAGGUUGGAGUGCUAGAUUGCUACUAACACUCUUGAGUAUGUAUGAGUUGCACUUCACCAAACAAUAAAAGCUGAAUUUGGAUUAAUCUUUUCGUCCAUUAUAACCUCCUUUUCGGUCCCCGCAGACCAAAAUGGUGGGUGCUUCUAAGAGAUGUAGAUCCAAUAAAUGAUUAAGUAGAUGUAGAUCCAAUAAAUUUAUUUAUUUAAAACAUUUCAAAAUAGGCCACUUAGUUUUCCCAAAUUACCCUUGUCAUGUACCCAGUAAAGAAACAUGGAUGAAAGGAAAGGAACACGGAAGAAAUUCCCAACCUAGAUAUGGGUGAGACUCUGAGAGAGAUGAAGGACAAAAAUCUAAUUGUUAGCAUUUGGUAGCAGGUUUGGGGUUUUGGGUGUGUUGGAUUUGGACUCCAACGAUUUCUUUAAACUAAAGAAGUUGUUGUGGUUUCGAGAAUGGAAGUCAUUUCUAGAGAAGGAUUUUGAAGUCAAGCUAGGAGAAAUGUUACAGACUUACAGUAGAAUAAAAUGAUGAGGUGUUUAGCAGAGCAAUUGCCCUCCAUUAAAGACAAUUGCAUGAAUCCAAUUAGAAACUCAGCAAUCCAAUUGCAUGAAUCCCUCCCUUCUCUAUAAAUUGGCAUAUAUAAUAUAUCUCUCAAUCUCAAUCAAGAUAAGCACUAUCUUUCCCACAAAAUCAAUUGAGUUUUAUUUUUGGCGAACAAAAUCAAUUGAGUUUAAAUCAGCAUAUACCCAAGAGUCAUGAUCAAGAAAACAAUUGGAAUGCACCAAGCAAUUUCAAGCGAGAGUAUGGUUUUGAUGGGUGUUUCUGGGUUUAACAAAGAUAGGGUAGGGUAAUUGUUGGAAUUGCUGGGUUUAGAUAGAAAUUUUAUAAUUUCGCUAGGUGUUUUUAGUCAUUUCCUGGGUACAUUUAACAACACCCAAAAUAGUUUAAACACCCGAAUAAACUCUCAUCUCUACAAACGAGAAUGAACACUCGCUUCUAUCUCUCUGCGCAUGAUUAUUUUUUUGUUUUUUUGUUUUUUUGUUACCGUAGAUGGUGUGCUUGGCUAUGCAGCCAGUGCCGAGGCGUUGAACCAUGCCAGACUUGACGGCCUUAUAGGUGCAAGAUUUUCUUCAACUCAUCUAUGAACAAAAUCACAGUUGAUAGGGAAUUAACGAUAGAGGAGAGGAUGGAGCAAACAUCAACAUUGCACAUUCCAUUGCUGAAUUGUCGAACCUAAAAUUUUAUGGUGUUAGAUAUUGGGAAAAAUAUUUGGAGAAAGGAGGGUUGUAAAAGUAAUAUAUCGAAUGACCUACUCAUUUCAUUAGAAAUCCUCUUUAUAUAGAGGUGCGAUGACAACGUUAAAAUUAAAACGUACUUAUAGACAAUGAUGAUUGAUUUUUUUUUUUUGACGCAAAGACAGACAUAUAACUCAUUGUAUUAAUAGUUGCAGCCAGAAUAACACUGAUACAAACCCCAACGAAUUGAGCUGAUUCAUACCAUUACAUUGUAUAUUGUCGCUCAUUGACGAUGAGCCUAACAAGCUAUAAUCUAGCUCUACAUAGAAAUUAUUUUGCAUGAAACUUCUGUCGCUAAAACGCUCAAUUGCGGUACGACAGGAAGUGUUCACUAUCUAGAUGUAAAAGAAACAUCAUAAUUUGCAAGUAUCAAAAAACCUACCUAGAUUCCUAUAAACCUACUAGGAACUUAUUGGAAAUAAAUUAGUAAAAAUAAUUUAAACCCUAGUGGCCCAAAAGAUGGGCUUAGAAAACUAAAAAGACUAAAAAAAGAACAUAGAAAGGGCCCAAGAACAAGUCACAGGCCCAAACUCCACCAGCCCAGAACGGCCCAACAGUAGCAUCUAAGCCCAAAAGUCCAAAUCUGAGGAGUACCCACUGUGCCCGGCUCAAACCUGAGAUUAGUACCGAGUGUACCCGGCCCAAACCUGAGAUCUGUGCAUCCCCACCAUCCUCACCGCCUGUCGAUCGGCGUUGAGUCACACUGACCGAAUCAUCUCCACUUACCCAACAACGAACCCCCUCAGGUUACCCAAAACCGCCCUCGAACAGAUUUGGAUUCGACAACACCGCAAAGUCGUGGUACCCGACCUGUCUAAU